rnacentral:lncRNA from 1 species
AAAAGAGAAGUACUCAAUCGAAUUUCACCUAGUGCUGACUCGGCCAAAUACGACUGAGUUAUGGUCGAGAACAACUUAACUGAAUUUGGCCAAUUUUCAAUCAAGGUUUUAUUGGUUGAAUUCGGCCAAAUUUUGGUUGUUCUCAAAUAAAUUCAACCAAAUUUCGUCUGGGAUCGACUCGAUCGAAAUUUGGUCGAGGCUUUCUUGGCAGAAUUUGGCCACAUUUCGACGAGGGCAAACUCAACCGACCUUUGACAUGUGCCAUCUCGACACGACCUUCGGCCCACGUCAACCCAUCUUGACAUUUAGCCUAGGCUAGUUGGGCUCAACCAUUGGUCUAAACUAGCUUAACUCAACCUUCAACCUAGAUUGAUUGGGCCCAACCAUCGGCUUGGAUCAACCUGAUUUAACCCUUUGUCCAUGUCAACUUGUCUUAACCUUUGAACAUGGUAGGACCCUCACGACCUUCAACCCGAAUCAUGUAAUCUCGACCCUUAGUUUGGUUUGGUCCGUCUCAACCUUAAACCUAAGCUAAGUUAAUUUGACCUUGCGUUCGAACAAGCCUAUAUCGGUCUUUGAUCCAGAACAAUCAUUCUCAACCCUCGUUUCGAGUCAGUCCAUUUCAACCUUGAGUCUAAUUCAACUAAAAAUUUAGAUUGAAAAUUUGGAUUGAAUAUUUGGAUUUUCCAUAUUUAAAAUUUGGACUAAAGAAUAAAUAUCUAUAAAAAAAAAGUCAUAAAAUGUAGACUUUUCAUUAAAUGGAUUGAAUCGGAGCAAAAGUGGUUCAAAUUGAGAAAAAUUGAUUUUUUUCCCACGAGGUUAAUAUUCGAAUAGUAAAGUAUAUUUACUAAUUCUCACUUUUUUAAAAUAUUUUUAAUUAUGAUUUUUUUAUACUUUAUUUAUAGGUUGUUUCCGCUCCUUAUAUGUAAAAAAAAAAAUCUUAUUUAAUGUAAUAGUUUUUCAGCUUUAUUAGGAGUUUAUACUUCUAUUUAUAUUAAAUUUAUGUGAUAAUUUAUGCUUUGAAAUAUGUUUGGAGGGAGAUUUUCAAAAGUUGUAGGAAGAUGAUUUUGAUAUUUGUAUUACUUUUAUAAAUAUAUGUAGUUUAAAGUUUCUCAUAUUUUUUAUGAGAGAAAUCAUUCUUUAAUAUUGAUAAGUUAGACCUCUGAUAAUGGUUGAUUUAUGUGUUUUUAUGUGUAUAUUUUUGUGAAUAAAUCAACUCCUUUAUAACUUUUACUCUGUUUUCCCCCCAAGUCUAGUGUGUUUUCAUGCUUUCUUGUGUUUUAGUUAGUAUAUGUCUGUUUAUCUUUAAUAUCUAUUUUUAAAAUAAGUCAAUAGGAAACAAUUUCAGUGAAGAAAAACAAGCUGGUACUCAAGGAAGCGUGAUUGGAUAAGAAAGAAUGAUUUUAGCAAAUAUCCAUUCCAAGGGCUCUAAAAUCGCACCUAAGAUUGCAAACAUGAAGAAAAGGCUCACUUGUAGGGUUGUAUUGUCACUACUGUCAUGGAUUGUCCUCGAAUGACUGAAAAACCACCAUUGAGCGCUAGGAUGAGUGGUUGGGUGAGUUGGUUUCUUGUUGGAUGAAAAUGACAAUCCAAACUGGUAGUAUUCGAGUUGUUGGUCAAAAAUAUAGCUCACCUAACAAGUUACAAGUUAGAGAGCAUCAAAUUUUAGGUCUCGCUGGGCAAGAAUGAAGAUGUUAGCCGAGAGUCUGUCAGCCUUGAUACGCGAAAGUUUGUAUUUAGUAAUGCUUUCGCAAGAGUUUUCAUUAUUCCUCAUUUUUACAAAAUAAAAUCACUUAGGUGUUUGGGAUAGACUCUUAGAGGUUGUUUAUAGUGUUGGAAAGCUCUCCAUCUCCUUCUUAGGUUUCUUCCUUCAUCCAUGGUGAAUUUUUCCCUUUUGGGGUUGAAAAGAAAGAUGGGCUACAAAAUUAAGGUGUUGAUGUGAAAGGGGAGGCCAAUUGAAGCAAGUAGUAGCUGUCAAGAACCUUGGAAGAAGGAUUACAUCUUCUCUUUAGUUUCCAUUUCUUCCCUAACUUUUCAAUUUGUAGAAUUCUAAGUUCUUCAAAAUGGAAAGCUAUUUCUAUUUCUUGAGAUUAGAUGUAAAACAUUGAAUUCUUGUGUAUUGUGUGAUGUUAACAAUAUAUUUUUCUAAUUCAUGUUAGUAUUCAAUUUCCUUGGUUAAUGCUUGUUGUGACUUGAUUUAUGGUUCUUGAUGUAUUAGGAAAUAUGACUUCAACCUAGAACUGAAAUUGAACACCUAAUAGAUGUUUGUAUAUAGGGAUAGAACAUGAUUCAUUACUAAUCUCAAGACUCUUGAACUUAAUGCAUGGUUGCUUGUUGAAGAUUCAAGAAAUUGAAACCUGAUGAGUUAUCACAGGUUCAAAGUCACUCGAGAUAAAAUUUGAGUAUUUUGAUGAAUUGAUUUUAACAUAAAUAUGAAAUUAAGAUGAUUAUUAAUACAUGAGAAUGAAAUACAUGAACUCUAAUAUUAACAAAUUAUAAAUAAUCUAUGUUACAUCUUUUGACACACCAACUGUCGGAUGAAAAUACCAAAAAUAAUUUCUUGUAUUUUUGUAAACUUUGUGAUCUAAUUGAGUUAUUAAAUAUAAAAAUUGUCAAAUGUUACACAAAUCCUUUAGAAGAUAACUACACUGUAACCGAUGCACUUAUAAUUAGUUUUACUAUGCCUCCAUAUAUUUAUUUAGAAUUUUCAUAAUUGUGAAGUAUAAUUUGAUCUUAAAUUUAGUUUGAUACUUGUUGUCUGUAUUCAUUCGUUUAUUUAUUUUUUAAUAUAUUUUCAUGUCAUAGGAAAUAUCCAUAAGUUUUAGAUUAAGAGAAUGAUAAAUUUUAGAUUAAGAGAAUAAUUAUAUGUUAAAGUUCACAAUAAUACCUAACUUAUUUAAAAAUUAUUUUGGUAAAACUAUCAUAUAUAUAAGCUUUUAAUAAUUAAUUUUCAAUUAUUAUCAUCAUGGUUUUUUAUAAUGUUUGACUAAAAGCUAAAUUUAAAUUCAUUAUUGAUUAGGAUUUUCUCCGUCAACAUUAACAUAACUAUAAUUGGAUGUAUACUGGUUAGGGUUUUUUGUUGAUACAAAUUGAACUUAAUAUUUAACAAAAGUAAGUUAAAAUUUUUUACAAAAUGUUGGACAUGAAUUGUUUUAUAAUGAUCAUUAUUGAAAUUAUUUAUCUAUUAAUAUGUUAAACUAUUUCUUACUUAAUGUAGAUUAAGUUAUUUUUCAAUUGAAGUUUAUAAUGAUUAUUUUUUGUCUAUGCCUACAAUAUUAAAAUAUUAAUCUUUAUAUUUGAUAGUAAUUAAAACUUUAUUUAAAAAUAGUAAUAAAUUUAGGUCAUUUCAUUUAAACAAAGCAGUAGAAAAAUUAAUCAAUUUAAAUUUAAUUUUAUAUUUUGAAAUUUCCUAAAAAGCAAAGAGUUCGUACUUAAUUUUCAUUUUCACAACUUUAGGAAAAACGUCUUAUCCUGAGUUAUAGAAGAACGUUAGAGCAAAACUGUUAUGAUAUAACUAAACUUAUUAUCGAUAUUACGAGACACUGCCAAAAAGUGAAAGAGAAGAGUAAGCGAAGCCUUGGAAGAAAACAAAUGCAGACAACCUUUUUAUUAUAAACAAAAAGGGUUAUUUCCAAGAUUUCAAAAUGAUUCUCUGCAUAAUUUUAAGUGUUGUCCCUCAGUAUAAAAUUUAGAUUCUCUGCAAACAAUUGAGUACAAGACGAAAAAUUUGAAAGGUAUGACUCAAAUCACAAAGUGACACCAAAAGUUACAAAUUUAAUUUCUUGUAAUUUGGGCUAAAAGGGCAUGAAGAUGACAUAAAAAGGACUUUUUGAAGCUUGAGACAGAGAGGAAAUCCAGGGAACAAUGAAGAUUGCCUCGUACUGUGAACAUGAAUUGACAAGACUUAUGUUGGUAGACAUAAGUCAUAUAAGAAGAAACAUGACUUCAAUGCACCAAAUACUAUUGAGCUGGCCCUGGUUAAGUAUAAUAAGUGGAAAAUGAUAGAGUGAAUAAUAAUAUGUUGAUGUUGAUGGUGAGGCAUAAGUGGAGAAGUGGACAAGAUUCCGCGUGAAUUGCUUAGUAGAAAGAUCGACAUAUCACAUUCAGUAUCCAAAUAAUAAGCAUCUCAUGGUUAAUUUAACACAGUCAUAAAAAAUAAAGGUAAAAAAUUGAUGAUGAAUUUCAAAAACUUGUCUGUAAAAGUUUUGUAUAUUUCAGAACAGCGGUUCCCAACAGGCUUGUUUACUAUUGUAUACUUUGUAGAUAAGAUUUUGCUUAUAAUAUUAAAAACUGGAUAUUGUUGCGCAGAUCUACUGAGACCAGUAAAAUAUGCUGUAACUCAAUACUACAACCAGAGAUAACUAUAAAAAGAUUUUAAGAAAAAAACAUGGGAAAAAAGAAGUUGGUAUAGAAUUGACAAGUCACUUAUGAUUAUUGCACCUUGACUUGAAAUAUGGCAGCCUGGUACCUGUAAACUUUACCACAAGCCAAAUUGUCAAGCAGGUUAAUCACACAUGUGGCUGGUGAGAAUCAAGAGCCAUCCAUUUGUAUAUCAGUACCAUUUGGAUUAGUUUGGUUGGCAUUGAAGGGACUUCCAGCCACAUUCUUCUGCAUUGGUCCAGCGCCAAAUGUAAACUCUGUAGGAGCAAUGUCUAGGGUUGGUCUGGCAAAUAUUGAAGGAGUUCCAGCAGUGCUGAAGGAAGGAAGUUGAGCUGGAUCGUUGAUCUUUGGGAAACCAAAGCUAAUUGAAGGAAGAACUGUUGGCGAGAAACUGGGAAGCAGAGAGCUUCCACUGUCGAUUGGUCCAUAGAUCUUCUGCUCAUACUCUUGUAGUUGCUGGUAUACACCUACAUUAAGAAAGGAAGCAUGCACGUUAGAAAGGUGAUGAUUAGCCUUUUGCAAAAUGCAGCCAAACAGUGUGAAUUUAUUCACUACUUGAUAUGAAGGAGUUCACUGAAAAGAUACAACAUUAACGAGACCUGAGUCCAAUCACAUAAGAAAUUAAUAUCACUCUUUACUCAAAAAUCUUAAGACAAUAGGUUAAUAGAUCUUCAAUCUUAUAUAAUGGUCUAUUUUUUCAUUUCUACCCAAUAUGAGACUUAGACUCAUACUUGGGAUUCUAACAUAUGAAUGUAUUGAAACCACCAUACACUCCUUAAACAAAAAUGUGAUACUACUUUUCGAGCAGGGAUGAUGGGAGAGGGAGAAUUGGCAAGUUGAAAGCAUAUCCAUGUUAAUAUUUUCAUAGGGGUUAUUUAAAGCAAGUCCUCCGUAAUUUCUAAGCAUCCUAAACACACAAAUCACAACUUACCCACACGAUCUGUUAAUGAUUCAUCACUAAUCUAAACUGAAAAAAAGUUAAUUUAGCUGUAUGACCAAUUUGGCCUUUCUUCCACUCUAAAUUUUGAUAACUACUAUUGAGCACUAACUCAGUUGAUUAACUUGAUUAAGUUUCCAUACAUAAUGAUCUUAAGAUAAAAUGAUUUCACCAGUUAAAAGUCCUUAAUUAACCAACACUGAAAUCUGAUGACUACAUUGGAGACUGGAAGCAAAGCUGGAUACAGUAAACAUACAUACCUGGAGUUAGUUCAACCGAAUGUCUACGUUCCUUUACCCACUGAUAACUCUGUGCAAGUCUCCAUCCUUUGGACUUCAUCAAGUAUGCAAUCACAAUAGCUGGAGACCUGUUGUUAAAUACAACAUGAUUCAGAAAAUUUAACAUUUCUAUAUAUUACAUCCUCAUCUGAAAGGCUGCAGUACAAAAACCUCUAUCAAUUCCAUUUUGUAUUUUGAGAGUCACCAUCACUAAGUAAUUCAAACUAACCAGCACCAAAUGUCACUGACAUGUUUAUUAAAUAGUCUAGGAUUAUCUUACCUACUCUUUCCUGACAUGCAAUGAACCAGAACACGCUCCUUUUCCUUCUCACAUAACUCUGCAAAGGAAGCACACGGCAUUUGCUUCAUUAUGAAGGGUAAAAGGAAGAAAUAUAAGAGAAAAGUAUAAUGUCAAUUUAAGACAAAGAAUCCAUUAAUUACCAGUUACUCAGUUAAUUUUAAUGAGCCAAAUCAUACGUUAUAACUCAAAUCCGGAAAUAACAGCAUAGGAAGAGUUGCUUAUACUUAAUAUCCCAUUAAGCAAAAAAGAACGUAUAACGCAACUCCAUCAAUGUUAUAACAAGUGACCACCAUUUAAACUAAACCAAAUGAGAAAGAUUUACAGAGAUAGCAAGUUAAAAUAAAGCCUUAAACACUAGAGGACUCAUUAAAGAUUAAUUAUAUAACGAUGGAAAUGCAUCAAAUAUUACAAUACAAACCCACACACUUGUGCAAACAUGCCCCCCUGUCCACUAUCAACAAUGGUGAAGGAAAGAAGAUGGGGGCAGCUUAGAAGACAAAAGGUAAAGGGCAUGGUGAGGGACUUGAUGAAAAACCAAAAGAAGUUACCAAUGAUAAAACAAUUUUGUUAAGGCCUAGACAUUGAGUGACAAUUUAUGAUAGAGUAAAAAAUGUCCCUAGGUACAUAAGCUAUCAAAUUGUUAAUCAAAAGGCAUAUUAUUUUAAUCAUGUAUCAGAACAUAUCACAAACCAUAAAUUCAUGAUCAACUAAUAAAAUAAAUUAAAAUAUACUUUUAACAAAAGAAAUUUGUAAAAUGGUGUAUAAACAAAUAAGAUCUUUAUUUCCUUUACUGGAACAUUAUCAUGCUUCUUCGUAAUUUUGUCUCCCAUCAUUAAUCAGUAUAUAUUUGCAACAAAAAACAGUUUUUCAGUCACCCCUUUGUUUUCUCACCAUGGCAGCUAGUCAUCUCAGAUCUAUAGAUCAUGGGUGUUUUCACCUCCUAUCAACCUUGAAAAGGUUACAAACGAUGUUGGGCUAUCCAAAAGAGGAUCACCGAUAUCAGAGUAUCAUCAAACCCUGGUCACCACCAGUCCACAGCUUUUUUCCAUCUAUGCAGCACAUAACAUACUUGAGCCCCUUUCCAAAAAACCAUAAUCAUGCACGUCUUCACCGAGAAGAUUCCAUCCAUUACUGCCUUGGUCUAUCACACUAGUGGUUAUUUUGGCUCCCUGCCCCUCCAAGAUAUUUAUUGUGGGAAAUCAUGACAAAAUAGAGAUUCCUAAAAUUCAAAUGACUCAAAAUGCAUUUCUGAAGACAAAAUCAAACUCUGCGCAAUCUGUAUUCACGGAGCAAGGACUCAAAUAACAGCUCAUGAAUCAAAUUAACAUGUAUUUUGUGUGGAAGUUAUCACUUUUAACAACAAUAAGAGCCUAAAUAAUUUUUUCCUACAACACAGGAUCUGUACAUGAUCAAAAGCAACACUUGUGUUCAACGAUGAACCUACCCUUUGGAAGGUUAAGGCUAUGUAAGAGUGUUGAUUGGACUCCUUGGGUGCACCAGAUCAAGUUUUCUUAGUAGUUCUUCCACUGUUCUUACAAGGUCAAACCACCUUAUACUAGAUUUUUACCAUCUCUUCCUCAACAGGUGCUAUUGUUUCCUUCUAUCUAAUGCCUUCAUUCCUGAUCUAGUUUUUGUAUGUCCACUCACCCACCACAAACCUGUCUUUGUCAAACAGAGUUUAUGCUCCAAUUCGUUCUUUAUCAACCAAAAUUCAAUACCAAUUAUUAAAAGAACAAGUUCAUUAAGAAAAAGAUAUAAUUACAGAGAGCUCAGAAUACAUGGACUUCAAUAAUGCUUUUCUUUUGUCCUUUUUUACUUAUUAUUUCAUUAAACUUGCUUAUAUCAAACUAAUUUGUCAUAAAACUAACAGUUUUUUGUUUGCACAAAACAGUAAACUGUAUUUAAACUUCAUUCAAGUCAAUUCAGCACAUUCACAGCUCUAUAGCAGGAAGGUCCGCCUCCUAGUUAAGUCAUUGUUUUAUGUCUCCUAGUCAAGGUCCUGCACCAAUCACAGCAGCCCUUCACAGCUGUUACCAGCUGCCCCGCGUGUUACCAGCAAGAAGACAACCUCACCCGCUUUUUCCGUGUCGGUUUCAUGCAUUUUAAUAAGGUAAAAUUGGAAAAAAGCAAUAACUCUAUAUUCUGAAUUCCUUUCUACUUCGUUGACAUUUUCUUCUUUGAUGCCCAGUCAGCCCUAGCUUCUACACUUUCUCUUCAAAACCAAGCACAGCUCUAAAUCCCUAAGGUUUCACAUGUGCGGCGACAACAGCUCUUCCCUUGCACUUGCAUGGUAUUCAAAUCAUUGUCAGUGAUCAAGUCCUUUGCUUUGCUCAAUUUUGACUCGUCAAGUUUUAAUGCAAAGAUUGACCUCAUCAGACAUGAUGAGAUUUUCUCUUCAAAUACAUUCUAUUUUCUCUCAGAACUUGCAUGCAUUCCAGAUUCAUGAAUGUUAAACUUGUUUUCUUUAGUGUUUACACUAAUUGCAUUACAUCAUAAAAAGAUGCAAGAAUCUAUUCAAUUUGUUGCCAUGUUUCAAAUUUAGGUAUUUUAUUUAUUUUUCAGCAUAAAUAGAUGUGUAAUGUAUAUAGGACUCAAAAUGGAAGUCAUCCCACAAUUGCACUUUUGGGGGCGUGGAUCUAGACCACUAUUCACUAAUUACUACUAUGGUCCCUCACAGAGGCAUUUAUCUCAAUAAAACAAUUAGUAUGGUGCUCACUGACAAGAAAAUAUAUUAAAGCCUUUGAUGUUACCAACCUGACUAUACUGUUGGGAAAGUUUCAGACUCUGAAAGACCUUAAGUCAUGGAUGCAGAUGCCCUUAAUGAGAAAAUUACAAGAAACCACUGCAAUAGAGUGAUAGAUGGUGGGGAUUCUCUCAAAUAAUCAAAUUGUUGAAGGAGCCUCCUUCAACAUUGACUUUAAGCAGGCCCUCUAGCAGAAACAGAAACAUAGGUAAAAGUGGCUAGAAAGGGAAAUUGCAAUUUUAGGCAAUGUUUGGAUCGGAGGGGAGGACUAGUGGAGUGGACAAUUAGUAGAUAAUAAAGUGUAGCAGAUUUGUUCAAGAUAUAGUGGAGUAGACUGGUUCAUAAACAUAACAGAAUGAAGUGAAAAGUACUAAGGAAUAUCUUUCAAGACCUUUAUUGAUCCUAUUGCUAAUUAGGUGAACAACAAAUAUCUAAUGUCUAUGAUUCUAUAAUGGUCUUUUCCUUUCAAUAUAUUGCUUAUUUUUUAAUAAUUGACUAGAUGAUUCAUAGAGAAAGUCCUUUAGAAAAAGAAUCAAAAUACUACCAAGUAGAAGUGCAAAAGAACAUAAUAGUAAAAGUCCAUGUAGCAGAUCAUUUACUAGUAUUAUUGAGCACGAAGACACUGGUCAAAGUUCCAAUAACAAGUACAAGUAUUAUAUGUAGUAGUUAUUUAUAAAAAAAGCUGCAAAUCCAUGUUAAAGAAGCACAUGGGCAAAUGAAAAGUAUAAGUUUUAAAUGGACAAACAGAAAAAUACCUAGAAACUGAAUUGCUUCAUCAAAUGCCAAAGUUUUGUCAUCUGGGAGGCAGUGAUAGGUAAAUGAGUUCUUGUAGAGAUUUUGACAAGAAGGAACAGUCUGCAAAAGUAGAGAAUUCAAAGGUAUUAUAAGAAAAUAAACACAUGAGGAAAAUUUGGACAAGCAGGUUUACGGUGCAAAACCUCUGAGCAAGAUAAGAAUGACAUACAUCAUGAAAACAAAUUGAAUAUCAAUCAAAAUCAUUGUACGUUUAGUCACCUCUUGUCCAUUUAGAACUAACUAUUUUCCACUAGUACAGGAAACAACCUAAUUCCACAUCUUCAUGAUUUUCCACAAUUAAAAAAAGUAUCUGCACAAUCAGCCCAAACAAUGAGUUGAUCAUUGAGCUUAUGAACCAUGAAUUUGCAUUUAUUCAGUCAUGUUAGUCCCUAAACUUGAAGUAAUUCAUAAUGUCACCAACAUGGAAACCAAUUUGGCUGCCAAAAUGAAAUUCAAAUCUUCCCGAAAUUUGACUAUUAAUCUUAUCUGAAUCUAAAAUCUAUCAACUAAUUGUUUAACUUGAAAUCAAAGUCUUAAAAAAGGGUCCACAACACAGGUUUUUUGUAGUUUUCAUGACCCACAAUUUAAACCCUUGUUUGGCAUAGUCAUUCCUAUGCAUUGACCACCUAGAAAUUAUAAGAACUGUUAUAAUGAAAAUCCUAAGUAAAUCCACUUCACCUACAAUUCCUCAAUUAUUACUGAAAUCCCAAACACAUAACAAUCCAAAAUCUCAACCUCACAACACUCAACUUAUCACCAUGCAUACAUUCAUAGUUAAUCAUUGGAACAUUGAAAUCAAAAAGAUGUCAGAUUGGAUCACAGAUUAUAAACAAACAACAAGACCCCUUACAUUGAGGAUACGAGUAAUCCCCUGUGUCUUGAGAAGCUCGGAACGUGAUGCGUUGUCAUAGCUUCCUAGGUAAAGAAAUUCGGGCAGAAUCACAGAAGGAAAAGCACUAACUUGUAUCGAAGUUUUCUCCGAUCCAACUGGAAUCCGGUGACCGCAAAUGGAACACACUUCCCCUUCUUCAUAUUUGUGGUAGUGGCCACACACCCCACAGGGAUUCUCUCUCUCCCUUUUCCUCAUAAUUAAACAACAACAACUAUAAAAAAACAGAAGUUUCCUUCAGACCCAGAUCCAAAAACAAGGGAUUGGGAACAAAACAAGGCAAAAAAUUAGAUCUUUUUGGAGGUGGAGAGAGACCCCAAUCAGAAAAAUGGUUCAAACCUGAAAAAAACAAACACCCAGAUCGACAAAAAAAAAAGGAAAAGAUGAGAGCUUUGACAAAAGGGAAGAAAGGUGUGGUUUGGAAACAACAAGAGAAGAAAGAAGGAGGGAAGGGAAACUAUAUAGAAGUUUCCUUAUUGUAAGUUUGAUGUAAUAAUAGUAUUAUCAACUUAGGACAUGACUACAAUCUAUGUAUCUAUCUGAGUUAGAAACACUCAUUGGUUUGCACUACUGGAUUUUGAUGGAGGCAAAACAUUAGCCAUGGUUUGGUAGUAAUUAUAGAAAGGGAUUUGGUUUAGAUUGGAUGAUGGUGAUGGUAAUGAUGGUAGACACAAGGGUGAAUUUUUUGGGUAUAUGUAUUAGUUGAUGGAUUUUGGGAACUUCCAGAUUUUUGGUUGGCACGUGAAGUGAACAAUCCAGGUUUCUUAUUCUCCUAGAAAUGAGAAUAGAUCUGGUAAAAACACAACUUGCCUAACACUCAACCAUCUCAGUUUCAGGUAAAUAAUCAUCAUUUCUUCCAUCAUAACUCUAAAGCAUUUUCUCCUACUCUCUUUCUCCCUUUUUAGACAAUGUGAACAUGCAUUCACACUGUAAAAAACAUUUUAGUAUGAUUGGUGGACAAUGAUGUCUUUUAAUUGGAUGAGAACUUAAUUUUUUCAGAGUUAUUUUAAUUUUUGAAAUGUUAUUUAAAUUUAUGUACUUUUUGUAUAUAAGUUAUUUUUAUUUUGAACAUUAUUUUUCUAAGUUGAAUAAAUAAUCUUGUCCAGAUUCUAUUUAAACCGACGAAUCCUAUAUUUGUAUUCACAUCCAUAAAAACGACUAUUGGGAAGGUUUUUAAAGUAUUUUCAAAUAUAAUAAAUCUAAAGUUUUAGUAUUAAAAUAAAAUAUUUUAAAGUAUCUAAUUUUUUUCUUAUUUGAUGUGGUAUCUUUUCUUGAACCUUUUAAAUACUUAUUUUUAUAAAUUAUUUUACUUCCAUGUAAAAAGAAUAGUAAAUAGAAAAUAAAUUUAUAAUAAAUAUUUUUUUCAUUUUUACACAAAAUUUCAAUGUUUAAAUGUUUUAAAAAAAUGUAAUCUCUUCAAAUAUUUUUAUUUUAAUUUAUAAAUAUAAUUCUUAUGUGUUUGUAAUCUAUUUAUAAUAUAUAUAUAUAUAUAUAUAUAUAUAUUAUUGUGUUGUUGAAUAGUAUUUCCUUUUAUUUUUGUAGUAUAAUCAAAUUUAUUGACUUAUAGAAAAACUAUCAAUGCUAAAAGAUUAGAUUGUUAGAAUGAUGACAAAACAAUUACUUAAUCUUAAAGAAUAAUACAACAUAAUUUUUUUUAUGUAUGUUUUUUUCUUUUUAUAAACUUAAUAACAUUUUUUUCAUUGUAAUAAUUUUUUUAGUAUAUGAACACUUAUGCACAUCCCCGUAUUUCCUCCCGUUCAACCUUUAUAAAUGCUUUAUUGGAUCUAGAUUUAGGGAAGAGUCAGAAAUGAGAUAAAUAAUACUUUUUAAUAAUUCUAUAUUAAAACUUGUAUUAUUUAAAACAAAUAGAUAUAUAGAGAGUAAUUUGCUUUGAAGGAGGAGUAAGAUAAUUUUUGUUUCAAUAAAAAUAUUUUGGUUAUGAAUUAAGUUAAUCAAACAAGUUACUUACCUAAUAUGUUUGGUAGAGGAAGCCAACUAGUAUUGCUAAAAGCUUUACCUGUAACAUCAUCAAUUAGAAUUUUAAAUACUAACAGUUAUUUUAAAGAUCAUGUUUCUAAACACGCAAACUAUAAGGUUGUAAAAAUAUAAAAUUAACAUGACCUUUUAGUAAAUGAAUUAAAUGUGAGAAUUUUUUUUCUGUCAGUAAAAUAUGAAGUGCAUAGUUGGAUAGAGAUAAAAUUUGAAUAAUUUGCAUGACAUAUUGAAUUAUAUAUGAACGGACUUUGUUGUUAAGAGGUUUAUCCAUUUGUUGAUGUGUUGUUUUGUUUGACAUAUCAUAGUCAAAUGAAUACCAAGAUGCUGUUCAUUGAUGAAUCAAGUUGGUUCUUUUGCCCCCACAAAUAUGAGUCUUUAGAUACGAUGUUGACACAACUGUGGCAGCCUUGUGUAGGAAAAAUGUUCCCAAAUUAACUUACUAACUAUAAUAUCAUCUUUAACUACCUCAAUCAUGGAUGAUUCUUGUUUGAAUAAUAUACUGUAUUAGAAUUUUGUUAACGUACUUUAAAAUUAAUUGUACAGAAAAAUAAAUACGGGUAAAUUUUUUGGUUGAAUUUAUUUUAGUUAAUAUUUAUGUUUAAAUUUAUAUUGAAUUAUCCACCUUCAAAUAUUAGUUAAUAUGAAUUUUGUAUUUAGUUGUAGAUUGAAAAAUAUUUUUAUAGAUUAAAAUAUAUAUUAUUUUAAAUAAAUAUCAGUUAAAACAUUUAAUUCAUUAUUUAGUAAAAUUUAUUAAAAAUACAUUGUCGAGUUUUAUUUAAUAUUUAGGAAGUUCUAAAUUUAUAUUCUUCAAUAUUGUUAAACCAAAAGUGUAUUAUUCUCAGUUGGUUAAUAAUUUUAAAAUAAUUAGUAUAUUUAAAUAUAAAUAAGGUUCGAUAACUAGUUUUUUAUAACUCGUCUCUUUUUUUAGUACUAUUUUUUUUACUAUACCUGCUGUUGUAGCAUUAUAAACAUUAUUAUUACUUUUGCUCUCGUCAAGAUAAAUCUGACUCCUUCCCCUGUUCUUGCCUACGUAUAUCGGAUAUUUUAAGAAAUGAAUAUCUCUUUUACUAGCGGGAUCCGGAGAAAGAAUAGGAAACGUGAUUUCAUUAUAUUUCUGAUCAGGAACAAUGUCUACUACAAGAAUAUUUUUUUUUUAGAACGAUAGUUUUGAAAAGUCAGAUUGUCUAUCUUCUCUUUAAUCUGAGGCGACGGGGAUGCCAAUUCAAAACCUUCCAGUCACUCUUCAAACAUGCACGAAUUUAAUAAUUCCAACCAAAAAAUAUAAGUCUACUUUCAUGCUCUUUAUGUUAGAUUGUGUGUUUGAGUACCUUUCAGAGGGGACAAAUGAGACACAUGAUGAAGGUACAAUUCAAAAGAAAAGAAAGGAAAGAAGUAACGUACAAGCUAUCUUUAGAGAGAUAAUGGUGUACUUUAUCUUAUGUAACUGGAACAAGAAUGACUGCUAGAAUAUAUUCCGAGAUGAUUGGAAAGUAAUGAAGACAUUAUGACUCUACUUCUUUUUCCAAGGGAAGAGAUUAUGAUUAAUAUAAUUUUUCAACACUUCUAUUAAUAUACUAAAAUAAUUAUUUUCCAAUAAAACACUUUUUAUAAGAUCAUAGAUACAAUAACUUUUUAAUGUAUUUCAAAUUAUCAUUUUAAAGAACCAUUUUGGAAACUAAUUCUGUCAAAAAAAACAUGUUAUUAAGAAUCCUCUAAGGAGUUUAUUGUGUUUCAUAUUUAUAAUUUCAAAAUACUAUUUGGUAGCUUUUCUCUUUUUAUUUAGGUGGGGUUGCAGCCUCAAAAGAAGAAUUUGAUUACAAGUCACACAAAAGGAAGUGGUAGUUUUUCUCUUUUCAGCAACAAAUUAGGUUAAUUAACUUUUUUUUUUCUUCGGGGACCAAAUUGAUGUUUAAUCAAAAGGCAAUUCAGAUAUCCAAAUAUAAAAAGGAAACUACAUAAUUCCUAAGAGACCAAAAAUAGAUCUAAUUCUCUAUCCUAUCAAUCAAUAAAGCAUAUGCAUAUGAAGCCAAGUUGGGGAAACAAUAACUUUAACGCUAUGUAAAUUACAUAGGUAUAAAUUGAAAGCUUACAAGUUCAAAAAAAAAAAUGUACCUCUCUAAUUUACAUGAAAUAAACUGUGAAAUCUACAUCUAGGAACACUUUUGUCAUCUACUUGAUACACUGAUAAUGGUGAAGAGUGAACAUACGUUGAUUCCUAAGUGUACAUAGAUUUGAAUCCUUCCGUGAGAGGAACCACCUUUGCGGACAGCCUGGACUGCAAUUUUGAUGCAGCUUGUCGAAUAUCCUGAGGAAUUACAAAAAAUGCAUAUUUUAUUCACUGGUUUUUUUCUUCAUCGAAACAAAAACUUAGAUAUAAUUCCUUAAGAGGCUUCGGUGCUGGUGUCUGAUCAGAAAUGGCAUUGUAUUCAAGUAAUAAUUACUAACCUUUGAUACAUAUACACAUUGUUGGGAUAAAACUUUAAUUAUGAUUGAAUAAAAACCAUAUAAAAUAUUCUAGUAGUUGCAUCUAAGUUUUGUUUUUGUCAUUAAAUUCUUAUUUAAUGUGAUGCGAGAGGGUAUGCCCCUCCACGAUGAAGGUCAUGAAAAUUCACAAAUAUUAGAGAUUUGCAUCUAAUAUGCAAAUACGAGCACUUGAGGAAUGUAACUUGCAAGUUAAAAAACUAAAAGGAAAAAUAUAGCAUUACCUCUAACGUAUAUCUUGGUGAAAAAUGAGUCAACAGAACUGCUUUGUUGCGAAUCCACUGUGCAUUUGCAAUGAUCUACAUAAAAUGUCAUAAGUUUACUGUUCAGGAAUUCAACAAUAUAUUAUGAAGUAGAGAGGAAAUUCUGAAAUCAGUCAAUCACCAGAAAAAGGUGUGAAUUUGUCUGAGCAGAUAAAGACUCUAGUUUAUUUUUAAUAUUUUCAAAUGGUACAAGAUUGACUUAUGAAUGCAACAUGGUAUACAAUUUGGUGCCAGAAAAGCUAUGUACUUAUUUUAACUAUUCUGUAACAUUUGGCUAAAAAAAGCUGCUGACAAUACAACGAUUAUUAUAUAUAUAUGACUAUAGCUAUAACUAUACUAACAUGAACACCAACUCGAUCAUAAGUGACAGCAAAAUAAAAGUGAAAGGGAAAGCAUGAUAGCUGCAAAAGUUGGCCUUCUUGCAUCUAUGAUUUGUCGAGCUAAGAUCAGAGUAACCAUGAAAGAAUGAAACAUGUUACAUACCUCAAAUAAAUGAGUAUGACCAAGUUGCCGAGCAUGAUCUAUGCUGAAUGAAUCAUCUAGGAAAGUUGCCUAUUAAAAGAGUUUCAACAAGCAAAGCAAUCAAAACAAAAAGAUCAAUUAGGAUAGCAAAAAAGAAGAGCACACUACAAAGGAAGGUAAUAGCAAUUUUUGAAAAGUUUUAUUCCUAGUUUUUCAAGUAUGCCAAUACCCAAUAUCCACAAGUACCGAUGAAAUGAACUUAGAUGACUCUGAUAAUUUUAGUAACACAACAUAACAAAGAGGACGACAAACCUUUGGUAUACAAUAAAAAAAUGUUUACACUUUAAUAUUUUUAAUUGAUCUUGUCACAGUUAAGCGUCAGAAAGAACCGAGAAGAAACAAUAAACGAUAAAGGGGAAGAAAGAAAAGAACAAAGUUCAAAAUGAGAUUAAAUAAAAAAUUAUGAUUUAUAACUGAAACAGGACUUUUUUCUAGUAGCCUCUCACCAUUCUCUUAUUUUGUCUUCAGUUUUGUUGUAUAUGCAAGCAAAAAAUUAUAUAAAAAUGAAGAGAUUUCGAUGAGAGAGAAAAGGAAGGCAAGCAGAAAAUCCUUAUCUCUACGCCUCAUUCUUCCUUUAUCCUUUGGGAUAAAACAAUAAAAAAAGACUAUAAGAAUCUGCAAGAAAAAACAUGUGGAGAAAGCCAACAGGAAAAUCACAACCAAAACACCUGAAAAAAAUAAGGGCCUGCAAUCUUUUCUUAUAGCCAUCUAGGAGAAAGCCCCCCUUAAUUAUCAUUUAUCAAUAAACUGAAAACCAUAGAAAUUAUAAUAUCAUCCUUUUUCACUAUCUGUUUCAUUACUUCCAAUUUCAAUCUAAUCAGGCACAAAACAAAAAGUUAACUAAAAAUUCCCAUGACAAUACAUCAAGUUGUAAAUCUUAAAGAAUUAGUUAAGGAACAGUUAAGCCAUUUAUGAAACUUGGAAGGUUGUUUUUAUGCUAAAACUUAUUACAUACACAUUUUACACAUUGUCCCAUACUCGAUUCCUGCAAUGCUGUCAAAAUCCCGAGUAAACUCACAAACUUGAAUGAUCCUGUGAAUCAAGAAACUACCAUGAACUGAUGCAAAUGGCAGAUUGUGCCAAGACCAUGAUGUUGGCGGAAUCACAGGAUUGUGUGCCACGUCAAUCCUUUCCAUCUUGUGAAGCUAGGUUUGCCAACCCAUAUGUUGGCUAAUAAGCAACCCAACCCGAUCCAAAAUCAAAGUCUAACACUUGUGUGACCCUUUUGUUCAGCUAGGGUUCCCAGACACUCAUAUAUAAGAAACGGAGACUCAAGAUGGUGCACACACCUCUUACAAGUUGACUUACAAUAUUUUAUCCCUCUUCGGAUCAUCUUACAAUCCCCAAAGAUUACUGAACCCUUUUUUCAAUUCUCCAUUUCUAAGAAUUUCAAAUGAUCAUACUAUCAAUUCUCAAAGUCCAGUGAACUAGGACAUAAAAUAAUUGUACCAAGUUCCAUUAAAAGAUUGUACUAUACCUCAGUUAUGAGAAUUUUGGCUCUCAAUGCAUCAGAAUUACACGGUUCAAGCAUAAAAUCUGGUGUUGUAUCACCGGUGAAGGCCACCUCAGGAGAUAAUAUAGUGUCUGUAAUCUAGAAAGGAGAGUUCAUUAAAGGUAAGGUUCAAAGAAGAUUUAGGUCCAAAUUGAGCUCCAGCUAUCACAAACCUCGGCACCAGCCUUCUUCAAUUUCUCAAUUUGUUUCCCAUUCAAGUGUGCAUACUGUUUCCUCAAUUUUUUCCUGAUUGAGUAGAAUACAUAGCCCUGCAUAAAACAAGUACGUGUUUUCAGCAGAUAAAGGUGUUGUGAUGCCAGAUCGCAAGUCUUCACACAAUUUCAAACUGAAAUAUCAAGAAACAGAAGACAAUACUGUACACAAAAACAAAAAUAUGCUAAGCCAAAAUCCGUUAAUUUUUCUGCCAAAGUCUUUGUUCAAAAGUUUUAGUACACAGAACGAGUUAACUUCUAGCACUGAUAUAACAUGCCCUUCAGUUAAAAGAAAAUGGCUACAGAAUGGUUGGUUGAAAGAUACCUGGCUAGGUAUAACAUGUUGUGUUCUGAAUGGUCGGACAACAAGGUUAUUCCGUAUCUCAUAUGUCUCCCCUGAAAUGAAACUUUGCAUAUCAUUUCCUUGAAGUUAUCUCCUCAUCAUUAACAACAGACAAAAUGACACAUACCCACAUCCAAGGCGACCACUUCAGCAUUCAAUUCAACCUGGCCCAUUGUUCUGUGAAUAUCAAGCAGCUUCUCAACAUCCUCUUUGAUGCAAGGAGGCACAAAGAUAGUGGGAGGUUUUAAAUUGAACAAACCACGGCUAGCUACAUACAUUGGCAGCCCUCCCUAAAUCAUUCAACAUUGUAGCACACUUAUCCCAAAUGUACAGUUAACAUCCAAAGUACACGAUACAUAGAACAAAUAAACCUUACAAAGAAACUACUAGGAUGCAAUCGCACAUUUACAAAGAAACUCACAAAUCACAAGCAGGACCCACAUGGAUCAGUGAAGACCAAGAAAAAAAGGCAAUCAUUGUGUAAGUUGUUUUUAGAAUGUGUUUGGUUUAGAAAAAUUCCAUUUUCCAGCGCAUGUUGAACCCAAACCUCCUCUCACAUUAGAUGCACAUUCAAUGUGACUGAGAACUUAUUCAAACACAGCCUGUAUAUGCCAUCAACAUUAGUCCUUGCCAUGACCACAUAUAGGCCUAAGCUCUAACAGAGAAGACUUUAAUUAAAAAAAAAAAAAUCAGUGUUUUACUUUAUUUUCAAUUUUCAAAACUUUAUAUAAGAAACUAUAAAAAUAACUUUUUUUUAUUCUCUGUUUUCACUGUCUCCUAAACAGAAUAAAACUCACAUUUUUUUCAUAACAACCUUCUGGCAAUGCAAAUAAAGUAUGAAUUGGCCUUUCCAUACAAUCUAUUAAGCUAACAGAGAGCAUAUGAAAUUUACCCUUUCUCCCCUUUUCUACGAAUCCAAAAUCAAAAUCAAAAUCAAAAGAAAAAGCAUCACCCCAUAGAAAGUUAUUGGUGACAAAAGUGGAGAACCUUACAAUGUGAUCAAGAUGAGCAUGAGUAAUGAAAAGGAAAUUUUGAUUAAUAGCUCUACUAGGGCACCUCCCAAUAUCAAAAGUGCUCUUGAAUUCAGGGAUAAUGAUACAUGUCUCUUGGCCUCCAACUGAAAUACCCUCAAUGGAAUAACCUUCCAAUUCCAGAACUUUCCGGUUCACCUGCGACCGGGCUAUACGGUACUGCUCUUCGUGAUCAAUUUUUUUGCUAAUUUCAGACAAAUACCCCGACCCUUUCAGCACAUUGACAUGGGUUUGCGUUGAAACUUGGUGGUGCAGUGGCUUUGGAGGGAAAAUGGGGUGGUGCAGUGGGAAAUGUUGAGGGAUCUUGAAGGCUAAGUGGCUAAGAGAAAUAUGCAUUGUUGCUUAUGAAUUUGAACGGUGAUGGAUAGAAAGAGGGACUGAAAAAAGAGGGUUUAAUCUGGGUUUUACAGAUGUUGGUGGGUGUCUAUCUAAAUCAACCACAGGGACAUUGGUGAUGGAAUUCGAAGAUAAGGUUAACUUGCUAAAACACUGUCGUUUCGACUUUCAGGUUUUAUUGCUAUUUCUUUUAAAUGAUUCAUUUCCAAAAUCUGACAAAAUGGAUUCUUCUACAUCUUGUGGGUUGAUAUCAUUAUUAUAAUUUUCUAGGGGAAACAUGAGUCUCCAUUCUUAUUUUACUCAUGAUAGUUAAGUGAAAAACUAAUUAUUAUAAUAAAGAUCAAACUAAAAGUUUAUUAUAAAAUAAUAUUAAAAUUAUGAAAGAUAUGUCUAUAAAAAAAAUAUGUAAAAAUAAAUCAAUUUUAUUAAUUUUUAUAAUUUUAUUUUGAGUAUUUUUCAUGACAAAAUUGUAAGGAAUUGCAUAAAGAAAGACAAUUACAAGGACAAUCUUUUCUAUUAAUGGUAUAAAUUAUCACUGUUCAAUAGUAAAGUUAGGCCUAUCAUAUUUUGACAGUUUUUUAAUUCGAUUGAAAAUAGAUUUCAGUGAGAAUUAAGUAAAUAUGAUUUUUCUAUCAUAUACUUUUAUGAGAUAAUGCGUACGCAUAACAAGUUAAGUUUUUCUAUCAUUGGAAUACAAAACUGUUAAAAUUCUUCAAUCUAAUGUCACAAGAUAAAGAGAGUUACGAAAAUCCAUUGCUUUCACAUAAUUUUAAGACUGUGUUGUAUUGAUCCGUAUGAAUUUUAUUGCAAUAAACCUAUAUACUACUUUCAUUUCCUAGCAAUUAACAAAAACAAGAUUGCAAAGGUAGAAGUAUCAUCUUGAUUUCUGGUUUGACAUAUCUACAAUCCACGAACAUUAACAACAUACUGUUCAUCUACUGAAUGAAAUAGGAGAAACGUUUGUUUGAUUCUGUAAAUGCUACAUCACUGCAAACUGAAAGUCUUGAAGUUGACAAUAUUAUCUCUGCAUUUUGCAAGAUGAAGCCAUGAAUGAUAGGCAAAGGUAACCCUUUACUAAGACGUGUAUUGGCAUGCGGCAAGAAGACAGUUUCAAUGAGCGUCCACACAACUGGCUGCAGUAGGAAAUCAUAACAUACCCUUUAUCAAUGAGGCGUUAUAAAAUUAAAUUUUCAGUCACUGUUAUGCGUCAUAUACAACAUAAAGGCACCUGAAUGAGGUGCAUCCGCAGGUUGCCAAUUUUGCUCCAUUUCAAUGACAUUUGAAAGUCAUUCAAUCUGAUAUCACCAACGAGGUUGUUUCCACUGAUUUUGAGCGCACCUGUAGCUUGAAUUACCUGUAGAAACAGGAUGUAAUGUAGCAAUAAUGGUCAUCCUUGUAACGGAUCAAUAUAUUUAUAAAAACAAACAAGGACCUCAGCAGCUGUUAGUCACAGGAUUUGGUCAUGAAGGGUGGUACUGCUUCAAUGCCAUUUUUAAUUAUGAUGGUUAGAGGGAAAAGGAGAGAAAGGAUUAUGAAUAAUUUGCAUCUGAUGAAAAUAUGACUUGUUAUGUAAUGAGAUGCAAAGAACUACUACCCAUUUGUUUUUAAUAAUUCAGAAUAACUAGUAUAUAUGCUGAUUGCAGCUCCAUAGAGAUCACUAAUAUCAUAAGAUUCCCCAAACAUUGAGAUUUCUAAUAUUAUAACAUAGUUUACUACUCAAUCUUGGCUUUAAUUAUUUUUAAACUUACUAUUCUUUAAUUAUGUGUCAUCUGUCCACCAGUGGUUGAGUAGAUAAAUAGUAUCUGGCUAAAAUAUAUUCCGUGCACAGAUACACAAAAACAAAGUAGUACCUUAUUAGUGCUAAUAAAGCUAUCUAAUAUAAGACUUUAGUAAUUCAUUGAAUAACAACCAGUUCCAAAAUCACUACCAAGUUAAACUGGUUCAAUAGUUGGUUCUUUAAACUCAGCCUUUCUUGAUGCUAGCGAGGUAUAGGAAACAAAAAUGUUUGUAUUUCUUACCAAAUAGUCGUUAUAUUUGUAGUUGAAUCAAUAAAAAAUAUUGUUGUAGUUAAAAAGCAAUCAUUGAUAGAAAUCCUUUAAACUAGAAUAUUCAUUAGUCUGACAUACAGGGCAAACACUAAUAGUUGCAGCCAAAAACAUCCCAGCACUGUUGACUGACAAACCAAUCCAUUGGGCAGGAAGAUUGAUUAGCAAGAUUCAAAGAGAAAUGACAGCACUGUAACAAGGUUGCUAUGGAUUAGCUUCCUUUUAUAGAAAAAAAAAUAUAUAAAGGAGAACUGCUAAAAGUUGUACGAUUAAGCUUUUAGAAUAGAAAAAUGACUCAUCUAAUAGCUUUCAUUGUAUGCUGAACUGAUUUUAAUACAUAGCAGCCCACAGAACUUAUCACGAAAUAAUAUUUAGAGGCAUCCAAGUAAUAUUUAGAAUGGUGACGAAUAAAAAUACACAGAUAAAUUAUGGCGAUAAAGGUAUUUAAUUUAAUGCUAAUGAUCUUACCAAUGAUAUGCAUGCCACCGGUAUUACUUUGUCUUCUUCCAAAACAUCAAUUGUCAUGUCUACAAUUGUGUUGGCACCUGCUUUCUGAUUUGAUAUCUCCACAACUGGAGGAGAAGAUAAAGAUACAUUCAAGUUCAUGUCAUGAUUUGGGUAUUUCUUGUACAGCUGGGGAAUAAUAAAUCUCCAUCCUGCAGUGUUCAAUAGAGAUUGAUCUGGUAUUUGGUCUACGAUCCAGUGCAUAAAUUUUGCCUGAAGAGUGUAAGCAGUUUCUUUGAUGCCAAUCCAAUGAUACAAAAAGAAGAACUUUUUAAGAAAAUAUGAUUUAAUAUCACAAGCAAACAUCUAAACUUACAUCAUAAUAUAAGGCUGAUGCGGAGUAAAAACAGCCUCAUCUAAAGUGAUUCCUACCAUUUUUGAUGAAUUUGUGCAUAGUAUUGGAAGUUUCAAGUUAUCGUGGUAGAGGUCAAGAAUAGGUAGGGAAGGAUUUCUUUUUAUAAAUAACCCAUUGGUUUCAAAUCCAACAGAUGAAUCACUUAAUAAAACAUCAUUCACAAAAGUUACAUUCAGAGAAGUGUGGUCAUCAACCGGGACUUCCUUUGGAAGACUUUCCAAAUAUGAGUCUAGUCUUGAAAUCCCAUUUGUAAGUUUCUUGGUGAUGGCAUUUUCAACUGCUGAACCAAUUUUCUCUUCAAAGGCAUCAACUACCCUGUUAGAUAUGAAGAAAAAUUAAAAGUCAAAAAACCAUAGAAUAAAUUUUUGCCAGUUAAAGUUGACAACGGAAUGUGUGAUUAGAGGAUGAAACUAAAUAUGCUGGAAAACUUCAAAUAACAAUAUUUCAUAAAACAUUAACUACAACAACAACAUACUGUGUAUAUUCACCAUAUUAUUUCACCAGGCUAACUGGAAAAAUUUGGAAACUAAAAAAGGAGAUGGAGAUGGAGUGGGGAAUGAUCAGUGGGAAGAAGUCACAAUUGUGAAUUUUCUGUGCACAGUACCGUGGCAUUUAAUUAGAGGAUUUCCAGGUAGUAGUAUUAGUAGAUUGUUGUGCUAUGCACAAUUUCAUAUUCACUAAGUUGGUAGAAGAAUUGAAACUCCCUCAUAGCAGAAAACCCCUCUUACUUUGUAAAAGUAGGGAAUGGGCGUAAGCCAUGAUGCAAGGAUGUACGCUGUGAGUCACACUAGAAAGUAUGCAAAUCCACCAAAACUUUUUCCUAUUUAGACUUGGUGGAGCUGAUGAUGUGUUGGGUCUGAACUCAUUAGAAGGUUUGGGCAAAAAAUAAGAGCCAUUUUGAAGACUUGACAGUGAAGAUGAAGGUUGGUGGAUAGGAUGAAGUACUCAUAGGAUAACCUCUAUUGACUAGGUCAGCAGCAUCACUUAUGUCUAUGUAAAUGUUCUACAAGACUAGGGACAUAAUUUUGAGAUUGGUUUCAAUUCCAUAACUGAGCCUACUGGAGGUAAAGAAGAGAUUUCCAACAGUUGUUGAAGAGGUUCUACACAAAUUUGAGGAUCUUUAUGAAGCAUCAGCAGGUUUGCUUCCUACUAGAAUAGAAGCAUUAUCAUGAUACUCACCUCAAAGAAGAAACCACCAUUCCAAAUAUUUAACCAUUUAGGUAUCCCCCGUUAUCAAAAGUCAGAAACUUACUCGUUAAGGAAAUGUUUGCAACAGGUUUAAUCGAACAUAAUAUUAACUCUUAUUCAAACUCUACUAUGUUAGUUAAGAAAAAGGAUGAAGGACUAAGAUUUUGUAUGGACUACAAGGCUUUGAAUAAACUCAUAAUAAUCAGCAAGUUUCCGAUCCUUGUUUCCCACCAUGUUUUUCUUUCCGUAUUCUUUUUUAUUUUUUAUUUUUUAAUAAAAUCUUCAUGUAUAUACUGAAAUUAUGGAACCCAAACAUUAAUUUGGAAAAAGGGGCAGUUUUUUGAGUAAACGUUUUCAGUUUCCAUGUCUUAUUUUCGCUCUAAUUACAAAAUGCACCACAUUUUGAUUCAGUUUUCUGUUUUCAAAAAGAACAUGAAAAUAAAAAAAAUAAAAAUAAAAGUAAACAUGCACUAAGGCAUCUACGCUUAAAAGAGGAAGGAUAAGCAGCUAGCAGCACAAGUUCUAUAAUGCUACAAAAGAUAUGUUCCUUUAUGAGCUAGAAUCUAACAUGGAUAUUUCCGUACCCUUGAUAAAGCCAAGAUGCACCUCCAUCCAAUUUUAUUGAAAUAUCUUUAACAUUAGACCCGCAGUCCUUGAGUUUCAGCUUCAAAGACCCUUCCUGAUUCUCCAAACCCAAUGUAAGUCCAACUUCCAUGCUUUUAACCUUUCCAGCAGUACCACUAAUCAAAUUCCUUUCUGAUUACAGCCGUGAAGAACAGAUAGGAACAGAAAUAACAGUAAAAAAACAUAUCAUUUUAAGUCCAUGCAAACAAGAACAACCAUAUACCAAUAUAAGAAUAUAAACUUUUCAUAAAAUAAGUAAAGCAAGGGUACCACAUAAAUUCCAUACUGCAUGCCUUUGUACAGUUUAUAAUUAAACAGGUUAACAUUGGUAGAUACCGAAACACACAACAGAAAAUGAUAAAGUAUCCUUCAAAUCACAAGGCACACAGAAAAUUAGUUAUCAAGAAUCCCAUUUCCAACAAAACCCCUUUAAAUUCCAAAGAACGAGCAACAAGUGAACCAAAGAACUCCCUUCUGCCCCCCUUAGAGAGACUAUGUUUCAAAUAAGAACUAACAACACAAUUUUGGCACUUCACAAAACAUAAUUGCGCACAUAUAUGCAUUUAAUUGUCAACAAAUCAGAAACCAUUAUAGAUAUAACUUUCAAUAUAAUUGUUAUGAAAGCCAACAAACUUAACAGGACAAUCUAUAAGUUUACGACAGCAUAUAAUAACUUUUAAAGGGCAUUACAAUUAAAUUAUCGCUAUAUAUAAAGUUAUAAACAAAAACAAAGGAUCAAUUUCUUACCUGAACUUCUGCUCUACCUCUGUCAGAGAUCUCAACAGGCACAAGCCAUGUGCUGUAAGAAUAAUACCAAUUCAUGCUCAAAUCACAAGUAACCCCAGAAGCUGUAAUGGAAAUUCCAGUCUCCCCUGGCUUGACACUUGAGGAAGGAACAUAGAUAUGAUAAAUUGUGAUGUUGGAGAGCACCAUGUAAACAUUACCCACAACUGGGAUUUUCGCAGUCUUUUCAAUAUUCGGCAACUGAAGUGGGACGAGUGAGGAAAUUGCCUUAUUCACCAGUAACUCCUUCACAAAGUCAAGGCCGUUUUGGGUAAUCGACAGGGAUAUAAAAGCUUCGUUUUGGGGAUGAAAUUGAGCAUACCCAUGAUUCAAGGAAGAGGCUAGUAGAAGCAGAACAAGGAAAGAUGCCAUUUUGAUUCGUUUUCGAAAAUUGGAUUUGAUCAUCUGUUGCAAAGACAAAGAUAACAUAGGGAAAGUGGUACGAGGACAAAUCUUCCAAGGACUCAGAACACACUGUUCAUGGACUGAAAAGUCCGUUUUGCCCAUUCUGAUUUGGAGUUCAUCAAAUUGAAAAUAAAUAAAUGCCGACAAAUUCUAAAAGAUAUUAUUUAUUUAUUUACAUAAAAAAAAAAGUUUGGUAUCAUUUUCUAACCAAAAAACUAAUUUCCAAGAACCUGAUUAUGUUCAAAAUAGUUUAGAAUUAUUCUGAGCAUUUGAUAUAUAUUAUUAUGUUUAAGAAUUCAAUUAAAAAUGAUUAAUUAAACUAAAAUAAUUUUAUGAUAAUCUGAUUCUCACGAUUCAAAAUUUAUAUAUAUUACAAACAUACUUCUUUUUAAGUCAAACUUGAGUUGUACUGAACUUGUCUAUGAUCAUCACGUUAAUUGUGUUUUCAAUAUAGUCUGAUGCUAUUAUAUCAUCACUUUGAAUUAUGAUUAUUAUAUUUUAAACAUUGGUUAGUUUCCUUAUAAAAACUAAUUUUAUUUGGUUCUUGAUUUGCAAGAAGUAUCUUCCAUGUUUGUGACAUAAACACAUAAACAUAAAGGAUUUGAAUGGGAUUAGCCUUUAAUGUAUACUCUUUUUUCACUAGUACAUUUGCCCUGCUAUACUUAGGAAGUAAACUUCAUGAAAGGCUCCAAGAAUAAUACAAGUGAUAAUCACUUGUUUCCAUGCUCAAAUAUAUAUAAAGAAACUAUUGACAAAAUGAUUAGCUAUUGCUAAAGGGGCUACACUAUUUAAGAUUCAUGAUUGAUUUUUUUCUAGAGGGUCAACGUAGGGAUUAUCUUAGGUAUGGUAUUUAUGAUCGGUGCUGUCAUUUUUUGCUUUCUGAGAUCAUCCCAACCUAAUUUCAUACACGUCAAUCAUGUGCCAUUUACUUUUGCCACGUGUGGGAAAUGAUGGAGACAUUUUUGGAGGCUUUUUUAACCUAAUCAUGUGCUUAAGAUAUUCAGAAUCUUUCUAUUAAACCAACACACAUUGUUUUCUACGAAACAACAUAAUUGUUGAAUCUUAAUAAUGGGCAUUUUCAUGUCUCGGUUAUAAUAAAAUAACAACUCCUGUUCCGCAACUAAUUGUGACUGCAUUGAUUUUUUACAACUAAAUAAUGGAUGAAACUUUGGAAAACAAAUAUCAAUCAGAGCAACCAUCUCAAUCCUGCACUUGUCAUUAUGUACAAUGUACACAUAAGAUUAUGGAAUCAAGAAUCUACAAGAGAGUCCAACCACUACAUCUCAAUAUAGUACCAGAAACAUAAUAUCAGAGUUUAUUUUAUUACAAGUUACACAUUAGAAGCUUUCGAGGAGCUUAAUGUAAUCUCUGUCCUGCUUCCCGCUUGCUUUUGCUUUUGCUUAACAUCCUUGCUAGCAUUUCCCCAACCAUCUUUCUUGCUUACCUGUGGAAGCAUUAAAAAUCUAUAUUUUUAGGAGAUGGUAAAGAUACACAAGCACCAUUCUCAAGCAUUCAUAUCAUAUCUUUGGUGAUCAUGACAUUGUAUUUAGAAAGGUUAAUGAAUCAUUAUUUUGUUUCUUGAAGUUGAAAGUCUAAAGUACUGCUAUGUUAAACAAAAUUUCAGUUUAUUCAUAUAUAUAUAUAUAUAUAUAUCUGUCAACUUAUUUGUUUAGUGUCAUUCUUAUCUUUGUAAGGAAGGAACACAAAUGAAAAUUUCAGUUUAUGCUUGGCUUGGAUGGCAUGAGAAAUAAUGAAAAUUUCUGACCUUUGGCUGCUGCUCUUCAUGGAAUUGAUAACUUGGCACUGUUUUCCGUCUUGAAACGGUUCUCCUUGCCUUGAAGUUGGCCUUUGCUGUGUGGGGUUUGAAGCUAACUUUUUCUUCUUCUGAAUUGAUUGAAUAGUUAUCAAAAUGAAGGGGCACCUCAUUUGAUCCGCAGCUCUCCUUUUCUUCCCCAGCAGCAUCUAAAAAUCUUGUCAUGAUUGUGAAUUUGUGAUUACAAUUAGAAGGUUCAUAUUGCUUCAUGGCAUGGCUUUCAACUGAUGAAGUCUCUGGAAGGCGUGUUGCCAUCCAUCUCUCAAGCCAGCUCCAACUCAUAUUUGAUUCCAAGCUGUUGUGUUUUGUUAAUUUUCUCUUUGAACAAAUCCUUAGCUGCAACAACCAGGAUCAGUAUUUUGCUGUCAGCCAUGUUUGUCCUUUAUCCACAUUUGAUUGUGUGUAUUGUCAAUGUAAUAAGAAAUCACUGAUUAUACGACUUUUAAGUUAAUUGUUGUAUAAGUCAAACAAACUUAUAAUACAAGGUUGCUUGUAAUUGAAUGAUAAUGUUAAAUACACCAGUGCAUGUGCUAUUUAGUCUUUAGUGUUUACCUGUUGUGAGAAAGCAUAUGCCAGUGCUCUUUCUCUUCUGGUUGAUGCCUCCAUUCUACUCUGCAUCCUCAUUUUUGAAACAUAACUACUUACAGUGCUGUCAUCCCAGUCUUCCUGAAAAUGCCUUGUGUUAUUUUGCAGCUUAACAGAAUUUUUAUUGGUUUCAAAAUAUGGCCAAUUCAAUGGUCUAAUAACACUCUUAGAAAUGUUCCAACUAUGUGUGAUGUAUGUAAAAUGAACCAACCUUGCUUGCUUUAGCUGUAGCUCAAAUUAACAUAAAGGAUGAUUUAUCAUGUUAACAUAUCAUCUUCGUUAUUCCCUUUUAUCAAGUUUUUGUUUUUGUUUUCUUUUCUGUAGAAGAAAAAAAAGGAUAUAAUAUUAUAUUAGCCACUCUUUUUGUUAGUCAUCUGAAGUUUAAGUGGGGAAGAUGUCUUAAAAUGCUAAUUUUCUCUAAUUUCUUUGUCCUUUUCUUCUGAAUUCAUUCUCUCGAGCAUCUUAGUUUUCAUUUUCUCUUUUAACCAAAAACCAGGGGGGCUAUCAUUAGCUUGUGUUAUACCUUUUGCUUUAUUACUUGAGUUCUGGUCCUGCGCUGAAUUCGGUGGCAAAGGCCCUUUUUUUCUCCUUCAACCGAGAAAACUUCAGUGGAGUUUGCAGUUUGGACUUCAACUGAUGUGCCCAUGGACUUUCUAUCAGGACUUUCUGUUACUAAAUUGAACUCCUCUUUUCCUGUUUCUGAUCUGAUUUCUCCACUUUGACGCCUCAACUGCAAUGCAUCAUAUUACUGAUGUCAACAUUAUAUGCUAUGAUCAAUGAAUAAACAAAGUAUUAAUCAUGUGAAUUUUUGCACAAACAACUGCUAAGGAUAUUUCCUUCGGUACAAUUUUUGCAUAGACUAAGAUAUUCUGUGUGAAUAAGAAGAUUGAUAUAAAUAAACUUUGGUUAGUUUACCAGGAAGCCUCUAAAUGCUGAUUGAAUAAGAAUUGCUGCUUCUUCUUCAGUCAAUGAUUUGGAGUCUGAAUUUGGCCUUUUCUGUGUUACAUUCUCCACAGUUUCUUCACUAUCGGUGUCUCCUUUAUCAUUCAAGUCUUCCAAAAUGGACUGCGAAACCGUGACUUCAGUGCUCUUAACUGAAGCUGAAUCAUUCUCUGCAACGACUGAAUUGAACUCAUCGCCACACAAGUACGACCUAACAGAUAACCAUCUUCUAUUUUCAGCACUACUGCGUUUCACCUGCUGGCAUGUCAUAAUUCAAAGCUGGUUAAUGAAAUAUACAGUGGACAUUACUGUGACACUAGACCAAUGAAUGCUAACAACACUAUUGGAAUGUAAACUGAGCUAAAAGAAUUGUAGUACCAUGCUUUUCAUACUAUACAUACAAGGUAAAAUUAAAACAAGUAGUAAAUAAAGAAGAAAGAAGUUAAAGAAUGGAGCUUUGAGAUACCCACUUUGGUUUCAUGCGACCCAUCAGAACGAUUUUUGGAGAAGACACUUCUUACCAAUUCCCCAGUGAACCCCAUUGGAGUUUUGGAAUUUCACAAGUGAAAUGUGGAUGACUGAUAUUAAUAUGGCAAUGCAGAAAGGUGGAGUAGGGUGCAUUAUUAGGAUUGGAUAAAGUAUAAUAAGGAAAGUGACACAUUCUUACUUGAUGAAGAAUAUUAAGCAUUAAAUAUGAAUAAAGUUGGGUUAUUUUAAAGGUUACACGAAACUGGUAGCUUUAAUAUGUAGGGAGAGAUCACAUGUUAACCAGAAAUAGAUUGAUGAUGAUGAUCUGUGUGCAGGGAUUGCAGAGCUGUAAGGGUACCUUAUAAGUGAGAAAAUAAUAGAAGGUGGAAAAGUUAAAGAAGGAUAAAAGGGUAUGGAUUUGAGUGCAUGUUGUAUAUACUUUUGGCACAUGGCUUGCAGAUGGUAGGCUUUUAUAAAGCUUACUUGUUACUGGGGUAAUGUCUAUUAUUCCUUUCUGGUUACUACUUCUUCUGUCCUUAGCCUCCUAUUUAGUAUUUAUAUUUUAUUUUCUUUUCGUUUUCUUACUUUAGUUUUAUGCCACUGCCUUUGGGAACAGGUUAGGAAGCCUAUCAUUUCUUUUCUUUUUUCCAUGGAUUCUUCACUGUCAAAUUUCUACUGCUUUGGCACGUGUGCUAUGUUUCUUUGUUUUUGGAUGAACUUGCUAUGUGGUAUAAAAAUGUAAAUCUCUUUUAAUAAAUUAGUUUUAUAAAAGUCAAGUAAAUUUAAAAUUUAUUUAUGAUGAAGGAGAAAGUGUAAAAUGAUAGUAUAAGUGAAGGGAAGUAGUUAAAGAUUAGCCAUCAUAUGUGCAUGGUAAUUAGAGAAUCAUGGAUUGCUCAAUAAAAAGGAAAAGGGUACUUAGAAAACCCUACUUUUCCUUCUCUUACUCUACCAAAAAUAGAUAUAAUUUCUUUGGUGGAGCUUUUGGGAAAUUGUGGGAAUUUAAAUAAUAAAUAUUUAAACGAUGAUUAAAUGUUUAUGUCUUUUUAUUAUAAUUAUUAAAUAUUCUAUUAAUAUAUAUAGUUUUUAUUAUGACAAUAAGUAAUAUAGAAAUUUACUUUACUUUUUUUAGUUUAUUUAAACAAUAUCUUCUUUUUUUUACUUUUUUUUACUUUUUUUUUCUACUUCCUACUUUUCAUAAUCUAAUACAAUUAGACUCUGAAAUAUUUGAUUGUUUAAAUAAAUAAAGAGUUGCUUCCCGUGAUGGUAUCACUUUCUUUCGUGUGUUUUGUUGUCCAAUAUUUUAUUUUACUAAAUAAUAGUAAAACAAUACAACAACAUUUUUAUAAUGAAAAAAAAAAUAGUGAUUUCGUUAUAUGCUUAAUAUAGUUUUUUUUUUUAAUAAAAAUUACACGCUAGCGAUUACUAUGGAAUAUGCUUAAAUAUAAUUUUGUCUUUAAAAGAUCGAUAAAUUUUAUAUUUGAUUUUCAAUGUUUUUAUAUUUAUUUCUAAAAAAAUUAAUUUGUGUUUGAUAUUUUCUAAUUAUUUAUAUUAACAUGGUAUGUCACCAUAUAGUAAAAAAACAUAUUAAUUAUUAUAAAAAUAAAAAAUUAAGGAUUAAUUUUUAAAAAGUAUUUCAAAAAUUAGUUUAAAAAUAAACAUAAUGGUAGAAAGAAAUGUAAAUAAAUAUUUUGCGAGAACUAAAUACGAAUUUCAAUAAUCAAAAGUGAAGAAGAAAUUUAUUUGGUAAUUGUUAGUUUACAAUUUUUAGAGACAAAAACAUAUUUAAACAUUUGUUAUAUGAUUAUUUUCUCGUAAGAUUCUAAUACAUGAUUGAUUUGUGAAGUUCACAAUAACAUAUUUAAUCAAAUUACAAACUUAUCCUUCAUUUUACACUUAAUGACAUGAACGAAUCAAGUUUAAGUUUUAUAAAUUAGCAUUGGUGUAUAUAAUAAUAAUAAUAAUAAUAAUAAUAAUAAUAAUAAUAAUAAUAAUAAUAAUAAAUAAAUAAAGAUCGAUUUAGUAAGUUGCAAUUGUGAUUAAUUGAAUCGUUUUUUUGCUUAAAAUUCUUCUACUAUGUUUUUUUCUUCUUAUUUUUAAUUUAAUUUUUAUAUGGAAAUAUUUAUUAAAUCUCCCAUUAAUAAACUUAAAGUAAAAAAAAAACUUCAAGAGUACAUUUACUGAACAUUGUAAGUAAUAAGAAGACGUGAAGGAUAUAAAUUAUAGGCUAAUCCAAGUAGUUUAGGGAGAUACAAUCUCAUAAAACAACAUUUUGAUUAAUUAAAAAUGAUCAAGAGAAAUUAUAAACAAAGAGGUGAUGAAAUUAAUCUAGUUAAUAUAAUUUAAUUGAACAGAUUGAAGAUAGUGCAUGAGUUAUUAUAAACUUUCUCACAUGCUUUGAAUUCUUACUAAUAAAAAAUUCAAAAUUAUUUCCCUAUAACUUGGAAGUGGUAAAGAAGACUCAAUAAGAGGAGUAAACAAAACCCACACAAAAGACAAAAUUAGGAUUUCAAACACAAAUUCCUUGUAGAAUUCAACAAUUGCAUUGGUUUGGUGUUGCAAAGCACCCAAGACAAACUACAACUCAGUCUUCAUUGAUACCUCCAUUUCCAAAGAAGACAAAGUUGAAGUAAAAUGCAACUUACAAGAAACAAUCUGCAACAAAACAAAAGCACCAAUAAAGGAUGAAGCUUUUGGAUCUUUCAGUUGAAGCAUAGUUGUGAAUUAUAUUUAUUUAUUAAAAAUUUAUAUAAAAAAAUUAUUCUAAAUUAUUUACAGAUUUUUAUCAUUACUUAUGAAUUUUUAAUAUAAAUAAAUGUAUUUUUUCAAAAAAAUUAUUAUUUUUCUAUAAAAAUAUAUUCAUAUUCUUCUAAUAAAAAAUAUAUAGCAAUUCAUAAUUUUAGUGAAUUAAAAAUCUUGCAUUAAUUAAAAAUAAAUAGUAUAUUUAAAUUUAUUAUGUUAAAGCUUUGAAUUAAAAGGAUUUUUAAUUUAUUUAGAUAAUUUUAUUUAUAAGUCAUCAAUGGUGUUUAAUACAUGUAUAUCUACCCUUAAAGAAAACAUAUAGAACUUAGCUAUGUGAAAGUGUAUGUGUCUACCCUAUAAGGUAUUAAAAAAUAUCAAUAAAAAUACAAUUUUUUGGGCAAAUAAUUCAUAAAUUUAUUGACACAUAUGUUCGAAAUGAUUACUUCUGAACACAUGCAUGUGGGCAACACAUUAAUUGGUGAACCCUUCAAUAUGUUGUGUCAUUCCAUUUUGGAAGGGUUAUGGUUGGAAUUAAUAUUACUAUAUUUAGAUAUUUAAUUGAGAAAUAUUAAAGUUGUGAUGAACAUGAACAUGUGCACUCCACUAAAGAGCGUGGACUUUGUGCUUCUUUUUCCUUUCAGGGUUGGAUGCCGUAGCUAGUGCCAAGGACCAACAUCACGUAACGUGAUUAAGUGCUUUAAACAAGUUUAUUUUUCUUAUAAAGUUAUUUCUUUUUGCUUUUUUUAUAUUUUUUUGUAAGUUUAAGAAAAAUAUUUGUCAAAAAAAUGUAUGAUAUGUGGUAGCAGAAGUAGUUCACCAGAAAAUUCUUAGAGAGAAUGUGAAUUUUUCUCUAGCUAUUUUGUGUUUGGUUAUAUAUAUAUUUUCCCAAUCAUCUUUCAUUUUGACUUUUUAUAUCUUUCGUACAAGCUUGUCUUAGCUUAUAAAUAAUGUUUGUUAAAAAUAAUAAAAACAAAAUCCCACAAAUAUGAAUGAAGAUUAAUUAAUAUUAUUUCAUACUACAUUUAUACAAAGUUAAUGAAGCAUUUUCCUUUUUGAGUUCAUAAUAUUUUCAAACUUGUCCAUUCGUUUUACAUAGUAAAUGAAAAAUAAAGGUUGAUUUCAUAGAAACACCAUCCCGAAAACUAACAAGUGGUCCUGGUGUGCUUGCGUCAAGUACAAAGAUAAUUUAAGGAUAUGGUCUUAGUGUACUGGCCUUCACGGAAUGGUGUAUAAAUCUACAUACCCCUAGGUUUAUACUCUUUUCCUUCAAAAUUCCAUGAUUUUGUUGAUGUAUGGACGCAUCCAGUCCUUUGAGAUAUGUGGUUUUUGUACGGUAAUGGAUAAAUUUGAUCCAAUAAUUACAGAAAUAGGCAAAUUUGGGAAAAAUUACACAUAUGGGGAAGUCGUGCUACCCCCUAACGACUUCAAAAAGAGAAGUCGUGCCACCAUUGCACGACUUCACACUGUUCAUAUGAACAGUGAUGAAGUCGUGCUACCUAAAAACGACUUCAUGCUGUUGUAAUCGAUUACGCUGGAGCUGUAAUCGAUUANCAAAAGCUAAAGUCGUGCCACCCCUGCACGACUUCAGCUUUGUAGACCAAAACCAGUGUGGUAAUCGAUUACUUGGACCUUGUAAUCGAUUACCUGCACUCUGAUUUGUGUAAUUUGCUUGGUAAUAGCUUACCAGUNNNNNNNNNNNNNNNNNNNNNNNNNNNNNNNNNNNNNNNNNNNNNNNNNNNNNNNNNNNNNNNNNNNNNNNNNNNNNNNNNNNNNNNNNNNNNNNNNNNNNNNNNNNNNNNNNNNNNNNNNNNNNNNNNNNNNNNNNNNNNNNNNNNNNNNNNNNNNNNNNNNNNNNNNNNNNNNNNNNNNNNNNNNNNNNNNNNNNNNNNNNNNNNNNNNNNNNNNNNNNNNNNNNNNNNNNNNNNNNNNNNNNNNNNNNNNNNNNNNNNNNNNNNNNNNNNNNNNNNNNNNNNNNNNNNNNNNNNNNNNNNNNNNNNNNNNNNNNNNNNNNNNNNNNNNNNNNNNNNNNNNNNNNNNNNNNNNNNNNNNNNNNNNNNNNNNNNNNNNNNNNNNNNNNNNNNNNNNNNNNNNNNNNNNNNNNNNNNNNNNNNNNNNNNNNNNNNNNNUGUGUGUGUGUGUGUGUGUGUGUGUGUGUGUGUGUGUGUGUGUGUGUGUGUGUGUGUGUGUGUGUGUGUGUGUGUGUGUGUGUGUGUUUUUUAAUUUGUGUAUCUAUUACGCUUUAUAUGUCAUUUAUUUAAAAUUGAUUAACCAGACAAAUCUAUUUGCAACGAAAAGAGAAAACAGGUGAGAAUAACAACGUAUACUUCCAUAGAUUUAGCAUCAAUUGCAAAAUAGUCUUAAAGUGGAUGUUUGUUCCUAAAGUUCCAAACGAUGUUAGGGAAACGUUUUUUUUUAUAGCCGUCAAAAUAGGUCACAAUCCGCGAGCCAACCUGGCCCAUCACGGGUUCGGGCCGGGUUGGGUUUGAAAAAUACAACCCACUUAUAUGCAGGUAAGAUUUCAACCCGGCUCAUUUAGACCCGGCUCAUGCGGGUUGAACCCGUGGUGAGCCGGGUUGGCCCACCAACCCACCUACCUAAUUUUAUUUUUUUAAUUUAUUAUUUUAUUUAUAAAACCCUAAAAAUAAAAUACUUUCUUCACUCACUGUGUAUACCAAAAAAGUAACAUCUGCUCUCACAAAUCACUUUCAUAGUACUUGCUCUCAUUUGACGGUGCUAUCACCCUCACUUCACUGAAAUUUUUCAAGGAACAGAUAAAACACCCUUCCUUUUUUCUUCUCUUUUCUCCACAUUUUUGUUUUCUCACUUCUCUUUCUUUUUUUUUUCAAAAACCCUAUAAUAACAAAAAUAGGGGUUUGCGAAUUUGUUUUUUUUCUGGGGGAUUUAAAGACAUGGAAUGAUUUUUUCAUGUUCUGACAUGCUUGUAUCAGAUUUUGUUCAUUUUAUUUAAACAAUUUGAGUAUACAUUAUUUGAACAAGCUCUUUUUGAUAUCUUUGAAUUUGAGAAAUUAUGUUACAGAUCAAACUGUUAUUUUUUUAUUGAUAUUGAUGUUGUUGAGUACUGAUUCUCUUUUUUUAAUAUUUUUUAUUGAUUGUCGGAAUUGUUCUGAUAUUAAGAAAAUCUUUAUUAGUGAAUUUGGAGACAAAAAGAACAAGGGAGGGUUACAACAAAAACAAAAAAAAAUGAUGAAUAUAAGAAACUUAUUUGUAUGUAUUUUUUGUUUGUUUUUUAAUGACAUUUGGAUAUAUUGUACUUAUUAUUAUUAUUUUGAAUUGUCUUUAACAUAAUUUUUUGGGAGUGAAAAUUGUUUAAAUUUAAAUUAGAGAAAGUUUGUAUUUUUUUAUUUUAAAAAAAUAUAAUUAAAUGAGCUAGUGAGCCAAUCCGUUUACCCACCAACCCGUGAUGGGUCGGACCGGGUUCAAGUUUUUCUGGCUCGCUAAUAAAUGAGCCGGAUUGGAUUGAUUCACUAAGUGACCAACCCGUGGUGGACCGGGCCGAGUCGAGCCGGAUUACCCGUUUUGACAGCUCUGAUUUUUUUAAUGUAUAUCGUGUUUUUACAACAACACAAAAACUAUAAUUGCUACAUGAUGUAGUACAAAUUUAUUAAAGAAUGUAAAACAUACUAAAAAGUUAAUAUUAGUUAAAUUAAUGUCAGAGAACGUAAAAUUUAUUAAAAUAGAAAAUAGUUACCAUUUUUAGGUGAAUAAUUUUUAAAAAAUAAAACAGUACUGCUUAUAUAUUCUUUUAUUAAAAGAGCUGCUUGUACAUUUAUAUAUAUAUAUAUAUAUAUAUAUAUAUAUAUAUAUAUAUAUAUAUAUAUAUAUAUAUAUAUAUAUAUAUAUAUAUAUAUAUAUAUACACAUAUAUACAUAUACUGUUAUUUUAUUGAUUUUGUUUGUUUUAAUUUUUAUUAUUUUUGUGGUAUGUUAAAUGUAUUAAUAUUGGUUUUUGGGGUAUUUAAUAUUUGACAAAUUGUGUUGCUAAGAAGUCCUUACUUGUAGUGUGAUUUUUUAUAUAAAAAUUAUAGUGUGAGUAUUAAUAUUCAUUGUAUUAAAUCUCAAACUACUUUUCUGGAUCAUUUAACAAGAUUAAUAAUUUUUUACUAAUUCAUGAGUACUUAUAUUUUAAUUUACAAAUUACAAAAAAAUAAAUAGUUUAUAAAUAUUAUCGUUAACUUCAUAAGCUAAUUAUAUAUUUUGAACUCGUGCAUUCUACAUUAACUAAUAGCUUAUUUUUAACUAAAAUUUUAUAUAUCAUUAAUUUUUAGUAUUUAUUUCUUUUAAAUACUAUUAAAUUUAAUUUAGAUGAUAAAAUGUAUAUUUGAUGUGCUGAUUGGAUAAUUUUUCAUAAAGAAACAUAGAAUAAAAAUCUAAUUGUCAAAUUUAUAUGUAAAGAGGUUUUCUCUAUUGUAAUAUGUAUCAUUUUAGAUCUCUUUGUAUCAUAUAUUAUUAACCAAUAUAGAAAAAAUAGCAAGUCCUUAACAUCUUGCAACCUAGAAUUUAUAAUUAAUUGAACUUUUUGAGACACUUAUUUUAUACAACAUAUUAUUUUUAUUUUUAUUUUGCCACCAUAGAUAUUAAUCACAUUAGUAUGUGUAAUUCGCAAAUUCUUAAUGUUCUACGGGCUAGUCAACAAUGGUGGCUAAGUAAAAUAUUUUUCUCUUUUUUAAAUAGAGACAUUAGCCUUAAAACCAAUGUACAAAAUAUUGAUUUCCAUUUUAAAAAACAAUAAUAAAAAAAAAGUCCUCUUAUAAGUGUGCUUUUCAUUUGAUAGCUAUUUCAAUAUUUUCAUUUGUGUUAUAAUAUGAAAGAAACAUUUUUUUCCAUGAUAUUGAUAGAAGUUGAAAGAGAAAUUUAGAGGUUCGAGGCAAUUUCUAUGAAGCAACUACGAAGGAGAAUAUUCUACAAUAAUUUAGUAAAUGAAACAUUGACGAACCGUAGAUGAAAAGCAGCAGGUUUUUAUCUGCAAAAAGCUUUCUCAUCUUCCAUUAAUACUGUUUAAAAAUUUGUUAAAAAAUAAACCUUAAGUAUAAUUUAAUUUUGUAUGGUAAGAUUGUCCUUACGAUAUAUUUUAAAUUAGUUUUAUUUUUAAUAAUGUAGAAUUUCUUACACAUUUUUUCCCGAGGUACAUAUAGAUGAAUGAAAACAUUUCAAAACCACGAACUAUUUUGUCAUAAAUCAUAAUGAGACAUCUUUAUGUAAACUUGUAAGAGGAAGAGAUUUGAUGCAACGGGUCUUUUAAGAAAAUUUAUUUAACACUUGCAACAACAACGAAAAAUAAACCUAAAUAGAAAAGAAUUUACAUAAUUUUCAAUCCAAAUUUUAAGAAUGAGUUUAUGAUUUUAUAUAUAUAUAUAUAUAUAUAUAUAUAUAUAUAUAUAUAUAUAUAUAUAUAUAUAUAUAUAUAUAUAUAUAUAUAUAUAUAUAUAUAUAUAUAUAUAUAUAUAUAUAUAUAUAUAUAUAUAUAUAUAUUAUUAGAUUCAUCCUUAUCCAUUUCUAUAGAUGGUCAAUGCAUGUGUAUGCUUCUUUGACUGUAUACAUUCUUCUAGAAAAAAAGAUAGACUUAUUUGAAAGUAAAUGACAAAACCUUAUUAAUCUGCAAAAACCAGACAGUGUGGCACAGACCAUUGAGGUAACAACCUUGUACAAAACCUAAUAAUCACACGGAUGAUAUACUUAUGACAGAUUUCCAUCACAACAUUCCAGUAUUGAGUGCUGCAGAAACAGGACUUGAUUGCAACUAUUGUAGGAACAAAAACAGCUAAACCAGUGGUAGUGUGCGUAGAUUACCCAAAUAAGUUCUAUAUAUACUCGUUGCAACAUAGAUAUAUACAAGAUAUAUAUUUCAAUUUGCAGAUAACGUUGGAAGAAGUCUUCAAAUAUAAGAAUUUUACAAAUAUCAGUUUAAAGGUUGAUUUUAUCAAAACCAGAAUUGCACUUCUUAACAUAUACUAAAACCAGAUCCACGAACUCUGUAUAGAAACAAACACGUGCCAGCAUGGUAGUACAGUUACUGAAUUUUCAAGCCGAUAAAGAAUGUAUAGUGAAAAGUAGAAGAAACUUUUGUGUGUCCAAAUUUUAUCAAAGUCUAACAUGUCUCAACAUUUGCAGACUAACCUUCAAUUCUUUAAUGUAUUAUUAUGGGUUCCUUUCUCCAUGGAAUGAAUUUAUCACAAGAUGAAACCCCUGAGAGGUAUAACUUAUUUUUUUUAUAUAAGCAUAAAAUAUCAUUCUUUUGUGUUUAACAUAUCUAUAUCCAGCCAUCUCCUACAGGUAAAUUAACUCAGACGAUGGUGCAGCUAUAGUGGUCGGAAUCAUAAACCACGUGACUAUGCAUGGGAGAAGGCGGAACAAAACUGUUACAUAAUGGACAACCUUGAAGAUAGGUUGUCCAAAUUUGAAAAGGUGGUAGAUGUGAGCGUGGUGAAUUUUGCUGUGGCGUGGCUUCUUCUUCCUCCUCCUCCUCUUUUUCUUCAUCAUCUUCUUCUUCUUCUUCUUCGUCUUCUUCCAUAUCUUCCACACUUAUUAGCGUGGCAUAGUGAAAUUUCUUUCUGAGCUUAUUGGUUAAUUGAACAGCAUCGACUCCAUCUCCGGUAACCACCACUCGGUCUCUGCUUUCGCCUUCUAAGGAUAGCGAAAGCACUCCUGCAAGAUUCACAUGGCUAUUACAAGCAAACACGAUAAACACUAGCUAGUUUUGAAUUAAUUACACCACUCACCAAGCAUAAACCAAUAGUUAAUUAGUGGAAUGAAAAGUGUUUAACCAUGAACCUACCUUGAGAUUUGGCAGCGACUGUUAGGACUUUGGUUCUGCAUUUUUCACUCUCCACUUGCACCUUUAUAACUAUUCUCUGCUGCAGCAUAUGGAAGUGUUCGAAGAACACACAUAUACAAAGUUAUUUUCAAAUAAAUGUUAGCAUAUGUUACUAUAAUUGGAAGUGAUCUCACCUUCAUAUUUUAAUUUGAUGAUAUGAAAAAAACUUUAACUUUCUGCCGUUGGAGCUAGAUAUCCGUAGGUGAUAUUGUUUAAGUUAACUUCUCUGUAAUGUGCUGAUGAUAUUAUAUAUACAAUAGGUUGAGUGCGUGACAGACAUUUGGAUCCCGUUCUGCACGCCAGGUAAAUUGUUUGAUGAACAAUUUUUUUAUUUUUUUUUAAAUAGUGAAUCUUCCAAUAAGAGCUCAUGGAAAAAUUAAAAUAUAUUACAAAAACUUAAUUUAAUUGACCUAAAUUUUCUUUUAAUAUUUUUAGAAUUAUAAUUGUUAAUAGAUUAAUCAGACCUAAUUCUGUAAAAGCUACUUCAAUUUCUUUUUCAUAUUGGUGUUUUUCAUGGUAAAUUGUGUACUGAAAUUUUAAAAAUCUCAAUUACACAUUUUUAUAGAUUAAUAGAUAAGUAGAAUUUCUUAAGUAAAAGCAACUAAAUAUAUAUAUAUAUAUAUAUAUAUAUAUAUAUAUAUAUAUAUAUAUAUAUAUAUAACAAUCAUAUUUAAAAAUAAAUAUAUUGUUUUAAAUACAAACAAGACACAAUAACUAAAUACAAGCAAAGAGAAUAACGGUUAUGAGAAGACUUCAGAAAAAUAUAGUAAAAAAAAUAUUAUGAAAAUAAAUUUUAUAUUUUAGUUCAACAAAUCUUCAAUAAUACUCAAACGCGUAUAUGAUAUAGUCAAGUCGUCGAUAAGAUAUUUUUCGUCACAAAUUUGGAAGUUUGGAGUAGUGUUAUAUUUAUUUGUAUCUACAGAUAAAAAUUUUAUGCAAAUUCUUUUAACUUUUAAUUACAAAGCCGAUGAAAGUAGUUGAAAUAUGUAUUCUAACUUCCAUCAUUACAAAUAUGUUUCCUAAACAUUAUUUUAAAACAUUUAAUUUUCUUAAUUUUUAAAUAUUCUUUUAAAUAAGAUAUACGUGAUAUCCCACUUACAUCUUAGAACUCAUAAUUAUGUCUUCAUAUCAAAAUCUAUUAAAACAUAAAAAAAAAAUAAAAAAUAAGAGAGCAUAUCAAAUAUAUGACAAAAUUAUAUUUCACCAAUAUAUUAUUUUUGUAUAAAUAAAAGUUAAAUUAAUUAAUAUAUUAAUUUAAUUAUUUUCCUUUAUGAAAAACAUGAGACACUUUAAAUUAUAUAUGUUUAUAAAUAUAUAUGCACCAUCAUUUUCGUCUAAGAUUCCAAAAAUACUCAUUACUCUAAAAAAUUAUAACAAAUUGAAGUAAAAUUAUUUUUCAACUGAAGUUUCUAAAAGUUUUUUCUCUAAAGAUGUACCAUAUUUGAAAAAUAAAAAAGUAACUAUCCACUGACAGUUUUUUUUUUUUCUAAUUUUAAUCCACUACUCUAACCCAUAAUUCAAAAAUUAACUAACUCCUAAACAUAACGAACAAACUUUGACUCAAUUAAAAUUAAAAUAAAAUAUUCCUAAAGCAUUUUCCUAACACUGUAUUUUAGGAACUAGGAACUGUAAAAGUCCAUGAAAGGUUAAUGGCUUCAGUAAAAUAUCUCUUAAUCAUGAACUGUGAAUUCUAACAUAACUCUUCUUGAGAGAUUCAUCGUUGAUCUCAUUAGCACCUUCAUGCUCCUUUUCUUCUUCGUCUUCAUAGUCAAGAAGGUCACCCUCGUACACCUCGUUCCAAUAAUGUACUAAAUUGUUUCCUGGUUUGUCCAUGGUUACCCAUGAUACAAUUAUAGCCCUAGUAUUGUAGCUAGAAGGGGCAACAAAUACAUUACUUUGAAGGAGCAUGUUCUUAACCAUAUCGACAUUUCUAAUGAAAGAAUUUGUUUUGUCUCCAUGGUAAACUACAACCACAUUGAAAAGGAUCUAACAUUAAUGUUGCAGCCAUUACUGCAAAAUAAAAGAAACUCUUUGCACCCAAAAUAUGAUGAGGAUGAGUUAGCUUCUUGUGCCAAAUUUCUGUCAUGAAUGAAAAAAUAGUUUACUCCUCUCCAAUGGUUUUAGAGCAAAACUUUUACCUUUCAUUUUCCCCUCGAACAUAACUUGACCAGCUACAACAAUUUUUGUCUUCAAAAAUAAGAUUAAAUCUUCUUUCAAUAAGUUGACAUUUAACAAAUUUUGAUCAAUUUCGAAAAGAACAUCGAGAAUAAACUUUGUGCCUGCACAGCUUGUAAUUGCAGGCACAAAGUUUUUUAGAACUAAUCAACCUAAACGUAAUUGAAGCUGACAUUUUUACCUUAAUUUUAAUCCAUUACUUUAAUCCGUAAUUUAAAAAUUAACUAACUCCUAAAAAUAAGGAACAAACUUUGACUCAAUUAAAAUUAAAAUAAAGUAUUCCUAAAACAUUUUCCUAACAAUGUUUCAAAAUAUAAAUGAUUUUCAUAAUUCAACAGUGAAAAAAAUUUAUAUCUCAAAAAACUGAAAAAUUAUCCAUUGACUUCAUUUAAAUAUAGCAAUAUAUGUAGUUAAAUUACAAUACUUAAUAUUUAAAUAAUAAUUUUAUGAUUUAUUAUCAUAAAAUAAAUUUGAACACCUAAACAUAUAUAUUUUCACUAGUAUUAAUAUAAUGAAAAUGAUUUGUACGAUUAUUUUAGUUUUUAAUUAUUUAUUUGGUCUACACAAGAACAAAGAAAAGAAUGCUAAGAAAAUAAAAUUACCAUAUUGUGGCGGCUGAUCCGGCCAUGGAGGAGGCCGAACACUGGCCGCUUUAAUUAAAUUUUUGUAGUGAGUUUCUGCAGCUUUGUACCUUUGGUACCCAUAUCAUUUUGCUCCAGAAGCCGCCGUGUCGAAUCUAGUUGAACCAAGACCAGUUCUUUAUGUGUCGCCACCACCCUAUGGUAUGCCUCGAAAUCUUCCAUGGUUGACGAAGAGCAAAAAACGAAGUGAAGACUGACGACCGAAACGUUGAAUAAAGUUGUGAGAGAAAAUAUAUUUCAUGUAUACUGUUUUAUACACGAUAACUAGUAAAAAAAGGGUCUACUGCCUCAGUCAACCUCAUCUAAGAUUUCAAAAAUACUCAUUACUCUAAAAAAAUUAGGUUUAAUCUCACCAGAAGUCCCUAUUUUUGUCCGAAAUCUUAAAUAGGUCUCUUUUCUUUUUGGCGUAUCAAUUGAGUCCCUUUUAUUGUAAAUUUGAUUCAAUUGGAGGUUUGCCGUCAAAUUCACCAAACGGCCGUUAACGUUGCAUAGUCAGAGUGCACAUUAAUCCCAUGUAGCAUUACAAACAAAUUUUGUAUUAAAAAAUUUGAAUGCAGAUAUGUAUAAUCAGAAAAGCAAAGUAGGAAUAAUUAAAUCACCCUUUUUUGCUCCUGGAAUGCCAUCUUUCGUCUUCUCAGAUGACUAAAUCACACUUCCAUGGCAACACCCAAUCACGAGUUUUCCCAACAUUUUCACCACUGCAAAAAUUCCUAAAUCAAAAACCAGGGAAACCAUAAUCAAGAAACUAAUGAUUUUCAUCUGAAGAUGGCUCUUGAGAUGAUACAAAGUAAGCCCUAAAAUCCCCAUGAGUUUCAUUACCGUUUUGGGUGUUGCCUCUGCAAAAAAAAAAAAACAAAAAAAAAAACUAGCACUUCUUCACUCCCCCGUUAAUGAGCAUGUCUUGUUUUCUGUAGCUGGUUUUGGUUUCGGGAUUCUUGGCUUGAUUUCGAGAAAAAGGUCCAAUAUUUUGCUUUUGGAGAGUCAGAUUUUGUGAAUAUUUUCAGCCAAGAAGUUGCUUAUAUUCCUCACCGGUGAGCUUCUUAAAGGGUUUUGGUUUUGUUUUGGGUGUUGUUUUCACUUGAAAAUCUAGAGUGAUAGCUGGGGUUUCAGAAGAUGUGUUGGAAGACUGGGUAAACAUGGGUUUGUGUGAUUUUGGUGUUUGCGUUUUAUAAAGAGCACUUGAAAAUGCUUGUGAAGUAGAAUUGGAUGUGUAGUGGGUUCAUUGGUUUUGAUAUGUUUUUAUUGUUUGUGAGAAGUGAGAAGCAAUGGAAGGGAAUUUGUCUCAGGGAGGUAUGGUUCAAGGUGGGAGUUCCUUUGGUGGUUUUGAUCUGCCUAGAUCAAUGAGGUUUCAUCGGCAAGGGCAUCAUCCUCAUUCCAUGAAUCAACAUCAAACUCAUCCUUCGUCGGUGGUGAUCCUGGUUUGUGUCGGCGACGUCGUAGGAAGAGACAAGAUUCCUCUCUCACGCGUGAAAAGGAGGACGAAGUUUGGGCUGCUCCGUUUGGCGUGAGUGGCGUCGUCGGCGACACUCUUUGCCGACGAAGGAAGGCGCAACGGAGGGUAGGGACGACCGACGUUGGAGGUUGAAGGAAGAGGUGUUUCUCUCUUUAGGAUUUUAGGGUUCUGAUGAAGAAGAAAAGGGGUUUGCCCUUUUUGCCAUCUGAUUUAACCUUUACUCAAUCUAUUUUUUAAUACAAAAAUUAAUUCAAAAUGCCACGUCAGAUUAAUGAAUACUGUGACCAUAUCGGUAGACCUAAUUUAAACGGCCGUUUAUUGAAUUUAACGGCAAAUCCCUAAUUACUUCAAUUUUAUAAAAAAAAAAUCAAUUGAUACGUUAAAAAGAAAAUAAAUCUAUUUAAGAUUUCGAACAAAAACAGAAACUUCUGGUGAGAUUAAAUCAAAAAAUUAUAACAAAUUGAAGUAAAAUUAUUUUUCAACUAAAGUCUCUAAGAGUUUUUUUUUUCUCUAAACAUGUUUCAAAAUAUAAAUGAUUUUCAUAAUUCAAUACUGAAAAAAAUUUAUAUCUCAAAAAACUGAAAAAUUAUCCAUUGACUUCAUUUAAAAAUAUACUUAAAUAUAUAGCAAUACAUGUAGUUAAAUUACAAUACUUAAUAUUUAAAUAAUAAUUUUAUGAUUUAUUAUUAUCAUAAAAUAAAUUUGAACACCUAAACAUAUAUUUUCAUUAAUCUUUAAGAUAUUAUGAUUUUUGAAUCUUUAAGAUAUUAUGAUUUUUGAAUUAUUUGGUUCUUUGAAAUUGUAGAUUAAUUUUUAUUUCUAUCUCUUGAUUUUUUUUUUUUAAUUUCUUAAUUCAUUUUUCAAUUUAUUUUACAUUUUUAAACUUAUAACCCACAAUUUUAAUCUGUAUAGAAAAAUAUUAAACAAUUUAAUGAUAUCUUUGAUAAUCAGCUCAUGUUACAAAAUUUAGAAAACCUACAAUAGUGAAUUAUUCGGUAUCACAAUGAAUAAAUUAUGUUUUUAUUGAGUUAAAAUUGGCAUUUUUAGCUUUUUUUUAGCAUGAUUGAUUUGGAUAGAAAUUGAAAUUUUAAAUGUUUGACAAUUUAUAUUAGUUCUGUAUUAAUCUAAACAAUUUUAAAUGAUAACUCUCCUCGCCCAAACUAUAAGCCAAAUUUAGAUCAAUAAAAAAAUUUCGAGAUAGCAAGUUAGUAUAUUAGUUAAAGCUUAAAUGAUGCAAGUUCUCGGUACGUAAUGCAAUACUACAGCUUCUACAUUUUAACUUACAAUAUUUAAUAUAAUUUGAAUGUUGAGUUUCAAUAAAUUAAUUGAACUAUCAAGAGAAUGUGUUUUUUUUUUUCUUUUUUUUUUUAGGUGUUGUCGUGUUGUGUAUUAAUAGACAUCACUUUCAAAAAUUAAUAAUAAAUAGUGUUUUUAAAAAAAAGUUGUUUACUGAUAUCACAAUAAAAAAUACUCAAAAAAAAGUUAUUUAUUGGUUUUGUGUUUUUAUUUAUAAUGUUUAAUUAAAUAAGUGUUGUUUAUUGUUGUCUAUAAUUUUAUAAUAGUGUAUAUAUAAUGUUAUAAUCGUGAGUAAUAUUUUGAAUGCAAUUCUUGACAUAAAUUUAGUUUAAAUCUAAUGUCAAAAUGAUUCUAUAUAUUAAGAAUAAUUAUGAAUUAAUAGACUUUAAGUAUCUAAAUAAUGUAAAUUAAGUUGUUAAGUGGUGAUAAACUAAUAAUGGAGAAUUCACUGUACAUCUAAAACUAAUAUAUGUACAAAGAUAGAUAUUUUAAACUUGGUAUAACAUGCAAAACCCAUUUUUAGAUUUAGAGUACUUAAAAUGAGUAUUUCAUAUUAUAUAUCCUUUUAUUAUAUAAAUUAUAUUUUGAUCUAUAAUUUGUGAAUGAUUGAGUGUUUGAAUGAUUUAUAAUCAACUUCGUAUGACUUUAUAUAUCAUAGAGGUAAAAACUUAUUAGUAAUAAUAUAUUUAGGUGACAUGCAUAAUUCAUUAUUACAAAUUUGUUACAUUUAUUUUUUAGUUGACUGUCAAGAUGUUUGUUACUCUCACUAAGAUAAUAAAAAUGACAACACCUUGAAUCUAAAUAAAAAUAAAUAAAAAUAAAAUAAUAUUAGAACUUAUCUCUGUUUUUUGUAAAAUAUAAUACAAAUUAUUAGUAAAUCUAUGCAUGGAAACGUUUUUAGACUUUAAAGCAGUGCUUCAAUAUCUACUUUAAUUUAAUAUAUUAAAGAUAGAUUUAAGAGUAAAAUUAGAUAAUAUAAGCAUUUACAGUUUAUAGGGAUGUUUGUAUGUUUUAACUAAGAUGACUAACUAACUUUUAUCUUCUUUUUUUUUUUUUUUUUUUUUCUAGUGAUACGUGAUUUUGACUAUGAGAAUUACUAGAGUUGUAAUAGUAAAAUAAUAUUAUUUACACAUAUUUUAGACUUUUCUUUUAUUUUUUAUUUUAAAAAGAAAGACUUAAAUUUUUCAAGACUUAUUAUUUUUAUAAAUACAAAUUUGUAAUAUUCAAUUUAGAUCAUAACUUUUCCUUUUUUAAAUUGAACUAUUUAUGUGAAACCUUUAUAAAAGAGAAACUCUCCCCUAUUCUUACAUUUUCCCUUGUCCUUUAUUUUUGUUUCCUUCUUUCAAUCUUCAUUUUCUUUUCUUUUCUUUUCUUUUUGGUUAGGAGUGUUCUAAGAUAGUUAUGGAAGAUUCUUUAAACUAAGCCAUCAAUGAAAAUCAAGAAAAGAGUAAGUUUUCUUCUUCUUGGCUUGAAGAUAUUCAAUCUAUUUUCUUUGUUUUCUAAUUUUUUUUUUGUUUUCUUAGUUUUUUUCUAAGUUGCCUGUGAGUUUGAGUUUUCUUUACUCCCAUGAACUUUCUACAUGUUGGUUAGUUUAACUCUAUCCAAAUAUUUGACCUAACUUCCUUUAUGUGCGUAGAUCGAGUUUUGUGGGUUGAAAUUAUGAGAUAGCAUGGGUGAGCUUCAAGAACACCAAUUAAGGUGAGAGAAGCUAAUUCUUCUUGGUUUUAAGUAAAUCGGUGCUUGCAUGUUAUGUUUUGAUCCAUGAGUUAGUUUGAAUUGUUGUAGUGUUUGAUUUUGGGAUUUGGAUGUUAAGAAUAAGGUGAAACUCUGCUAUUUUUGCUCAAGCGAGAUAAAAUCUUGCUUUGGCAACAAUAUUCCAAACGUUGACUUUACUUUUGGUCGAGUUGUCGUCCAUGCGAAAAUAAUUUGUCGUCCCAACAAUAGACUUCUUGCUUAGGCUAGAAAGUCAUUACACUUAUUUUGGUUUCUAAUGAGUUGUCGCUUAGGCAACAAAUCUGUCACUCAAGCGACAACACAUUCUUGCACAUUAUAAUAGCUCAUGUUAGUCUCUGUUAAAGUGUCUUUCAAGCGACAAGAUCUCCCCAAGUGAGACUUCCAUUGAUUUUGUUUUAGUUUAAAUGUGAUGAUGGGUUAUUAAUUGAUGAUAACAUGUAUUUGGUGGUUUAUUUAUGAAUAUAAACAUGUGUAUCAUAUGAAAUGGAAAGUAUGCUAGUGUCGUCACCACACAUAUAAGUGGUUGAUAAUACAUGAAAUUAUUUGAUUAGAGCGAAUGAAUGUGAGUUGAUAAGUAGUUGAUAAUACAUGAGAAUGCAAAGAAAGAAUGUGAGUACGAGAACUUUUUUAAAAUUUUGUUAAGAUUUUUGUAAUUUAAAUGGGAAGAUUAUAUUAUGAUAUCAAUGUAUGGAAUGGAAAGAUUGGUGAAAAUAAUUGUGAAUUGCAUUCUAAGGAAGUGUGAUGACUUUAAUUAAGAGAGUGAAAAUGGAUCAAUCAAAUGGAAUGACAUAAGUUUGAAAUUAUAUGAUUGUUUGGGUUUUUCCCUUAUAAAAGGAAGAGGUACAAUUCCUUAUUAAUUUAGUGUUAUACAUUAACUAAAGAUACAUGUAGGUCAAAAGUCAUCCUAUACUCGGCAUACAAACUCAUAUAGUUAUAGUCUAGGUGGUGGUGAGAGUUGAAUGAAGUUUUUAUGGUGGGAUUAGGUGUGGGACCCCUCAUUUGACGAUGUCAUAAGUUAACUUACUUUGUCUAGAGGAAUUUUAUCAAUUUAUUAGGCUAAGUGGAGCUAGAGUCUUUGCCACAAUCCACUAUGAGAUUUUAUCAUAGAGGCUUCUUGUGUCCAAGUCAAUACAUAAAUUCAGAUAUCGAAUCUAAUAUUAUGUUCUGCUUAUAUGUUUAGGAAUGUUUUAGUGGUGGGAUCAUUAACUGUUAUGUUUUAGUUGUAUUGAGAUAUUGAGUUAUUAAUUGUUUAUGCAUGUUUAAAGUUAUAAUUAGCUUACACCCUCUUGUUGAUUUGAUGUUUUUCUUUUUGAGAUCAUCAUUCACUUAUGUGUGAAGAGGAUGAUACAAGAGUGGAUAUAAAGCAAAUAGUUUGAGUCAUAAGAUAACAUUUUUUUCUUUUGUAUUUGUGAUAGGGAAAAAAAUCUUUAGUACAAGUAGACCCCUUGAACAUAUUAUUAUGAUUGUUUCUAUUCGGAUGGCUGUACUAAUAUUUUAUAUCUUGCAUUGUUAAUUGUUUUAGAUUAUCAAACAUGUAAUGACGUAUUUUAGUAGUGAUGUACUACCAAAUUGAAAUGUUACAAUUUACUAAUUUUUUUAAUUGAUCCAUUAAUUUAUUUUGAUAUUUCUAUUUUCAAAUACUAAAAAUUGAUAUUAAUAAAAAUGGAUAAUUACAAGCAGAAGAAAAAUUAUAUUUAAUUAAAUAUUUGUGACUUUUCAAUAAUAUUAAACAUUAUCGAAAAGGAUGAAAAAUUUGGUAAAUCAUUUUAAUAUUUAAAAUAUUCAAUUUAUCACAAUUCAAACAAAUUAUUAAAUUAAGCCUAUAUUUUCUAAAAUGUUGAACAAUUACCAAUUAAUUUAAUUGUAACAUUGUAUAAGUCACUUUUUUUAUUUUAUUGUUCCGAAUAAGAUUAUGUUAGACAUUACUAUCAACUUUGACAUCUCACUGACAUAUCAAAGUCCAUCAUUCAUUUGCCAUCACAUAAAAAAUUAUUUUAAAAAAAUAAAACAAAAGAAAACAAAGCAUGAUGGACCACACCAAACCCAUUACGAAACAUUGAUAAACUAUACCUAUUAUGAAAAAAAUCUAAAGAAAUACAUAGAGGUAAAACAUUAAAACGCUUAUAUAUGAACAAAAGCUAAAUUAGCUAACUAAUCAACACAAUGAUUUCAUUCAUGAAAAACAUGAGAAAAUUUGAAUUGCAUAUGUAUACAAAAAUACAAGAUGCAUCUCUCUCUAAAACUCUGAGAAUCUACUUGUUCAUAAAAAAACAUGAGAGACUAAAGAAGAAUCACUAUCCAACAAAUGCCUUUGAAAGCCAUCCCUCUAAGUAUGCUCCAAAACAUAAAUAACCCUCAUAGACUCGGUAUAAAUAAAAUUUUGUACUCUUGAAAAACCUGAAAAUCUAUCCACAUAUUCAGUUUGACUUUCUCUAAAAAUACCAACACUUGAAGUCAAAUCAGGACAAUUAAGCUAAUUAAUAGAUGGAACUUGUUAUAUUAGGCCCACAAAUGAAACCACUUCACCCUUCCUAGUUUGAAUAUGAAAAACUUCUAUCACAAAAAAUCAGAAACAAUAUUUCUCAUAUGAUUUAUGUCCACUCAUACAUAAUAACCCUUUAAUUUGAAAAAUAGCAGAAGAGAAUGGAGUUGGAUCCUAAAAUAUACUACUAUUUCUCAUCUCCAAAUCCUUCAAAUUAUUGCACUAAUGACAAUUUAAAACAAAUGACUACAAAAAGACUUCAUAAAUUGAACAUGAAAUCCAAAGACUUUGUCGAUACUAUAUAUCUUAUUUAUCGAUAAUUUGUUUUUUUCUAUAAAAUAUGUCAACAGUUAACAUUUUAAAAUCCUUAAUUUAUUUAAAUUUUAUCGAUAAAAAUAAUUUUAAUUAUAAAAAAAAUUUAUUGUAAAUUUUUGUUUUUAUAGUAUAAUAUGUUCAUACCAAUAGUAAUUUAUUACUCUUUUAAAUUUUUUUGCUAAUUAACUUAUUAAUUCAUUUAAAAUUUAUUGAUAAAAAAAUUACUUAUAAGAAAAUAUUUAUUUCAAAUUUUAUUUCUAGGUUUUUCUCAUUAAUUAUUAAUAAUUUAUUACGCUUUUUAAUUUUGUGAUGACUUAUUAUUAAUUCAUUUGAAUUUUAUUAAUAAAAAUAAUUUUAAUUAUAAGAAAAUAUUUAUUUCUUAUUUUAUUUCUACUAUAGUAUAAUUUUUUUUUCUUAUUAAUUAUUGAUAAUUUAUUAUGAUUUUAAAUUUUGUGCUGAUUAAUUAAUUCAUUUAAAUUUUAUUGAUAAAAAUAAUUUUAAUUAUGAGAAAAAAUUUAUUUUAGAUAUUUUUUUAUUAUAAUAUGAAAAAUUUCCUCAUUAAUUAUUGAUAAUUUAGUUUGCUUUUAAUUUUUGUGUUAAUUAAUUAAUUCAUUUAUUUAAAUAUUAUUGAGAAAAAUAAUUUUAAUUAUAGAAAAACAUUUAUCUCAAGUUUUAUUUCUAUUAUAAUAUAAUUUUUUUUCACCAUUAAUUAUUGAUAUUUUGUUGUUCUUUCAAUUUUUGUGUUUAUUCAUUUAUUCAUUUAAAUUUUAUUAAUAAAAAUAAUUUUAAUAAAGAUUAUAAAAAAACUUAUUUAUAGAAGAGAUAAAAAAUUUAUUUAUAAAUAUUAUACUUUGUAGUUAAUUCAUUGUAACUUUCUUUAUUUUGUUAUCAUAGUUAAUUCAUUGUAACUUUCUUUCUUUUUUGUUAUCUAUGUAUGAUUUUUCUUUCCUAAUAGUUAAUAAGAUGAAAGAUGAUUAUAACUAAUCAUUAAAAUAAAUUUUUCUUUUCAGUUUUAUUAUUAAGUAAAUUCUUUUAAUUCAAAUCUCAUUAUAAAAAAGUUAUAUAAUUUUUUAUUAUUUUAGUAAUUACUUUUUUAAAUUUAAAUAAUUAUUCAUAAUAAAAAAAAAUAUUCCCAAUUAUGCAAUUCAAACUCAGUUUGAUCAUGCUCAGGUUGUUAAAGAAAAGACAUUUUUGAAUCAUUCUGAACAAAAACUGUGUAGAAGAGAAAAACAGUGUGGUUCUGAUAUUGCUUCAACUCAUGUUAUUUUGGUUGCACCCUCUGAUGGAAACUAGAGAAUGGAGCAAGCAUUGGGGUAUGAAUCAUAAUCCAGUAUACAUAUAAAUGACUAGGUGGAGGAAAAUUUGAAUAACAAUAAGGUAUUGGAAAGAUUUUCUCUAUAGUGAUUUGAUCAUUGGCAGGGUUUUCAUCUGUCACACUCAUAAGAGUUGCAUAGUUCAACUUCUUUCUUAAUUUAUUAGUCAAGCAAACCGAAUCAAUCGCAUCUCCAGUCACCACCACUUCAUCUCUGUCUUCACCCUCUAAUGCCACUGAAUGCACACCUAUAUGCAUGCAUGCAUAUUAUUUACAGUUCAAUCAAAUCACAAACACUAAAUCACUAAUAAUAAAGCGAUUAUGCAAUUGAAAAGUGGCAUGCAUGCACCUUCAGAGCCUGCAGCAAUUUUCAUUGCCUUGCUUCUGCAUUUCUCAUUCUCCAUGCGCACUUGGAUAACUAUUUUCUGCAUAAUUCAAUCAGUAAAGUGAAAAGCUUAAUAUAUAUAUAUAUAUAUAUAUAUAUAUAUAUAUAUAUAUAUAUAUAUAUAUAUAUAUAUAUAUUAAACCUAAUAGAAGACCGUGGAAUGUAAUUAAUAACUAAUCAAUACAAGUAAUCUCACCUUCAUCUUUGAUGACUGAAAACAGAGCACAGCUUCAGCUUUCACUUCGGGAAGAAGAAGCUUAUGGGUCAGAGUAUCGAUCAGUCUAUAUAUAUAUAUAUAUAUAUAUAUAUAUAUAUAUAUAUAUAAGAGAAAUAAAAAAUAAAAUAUUGUUGUUGACUCAAACAGUAUUUUGUCUGUAUUGUUGUUGUUGACUCAGAGUAAACGUAUUUUUUUUUCCUCCAUUUUAGACUCGGGUUGUUAUGGAAAUUAGGUGACCUUUAACGUUAAAAUAUUGUGUUUGGUUGGAAAGUGAGAUGGGAAAAGUGUAAAACCGAAGAAAUAUGACUCUCUGGAAAGACUUGGUCCGUAAUUGAAAUCUUAAUUCAUCAAAUUCUAUUUUGUUUAUUAAUGUUGCGCUGGUAGUUAAAUGAAAAAUUCUUAGAUAUAAAAAAGUUGUGUAGAAGAUAAUGAUGUUUGUUAUAAGUUAUAUUAAGGCCAAGUUUGAUUCAACUUUUCUUAGCUAUGCUUCCAAAUUAGGGGUGUAAAAAAACAGAAAAAAAAAAUCCAAAUUCAAUCUAUUAUUACACGGAUAUAAAUAGUUUUAAGUUUAUUUUGAUAAAUUUGUUUUAAAUCUGAAUAAAUGGAUUUUAAAUCCAAUCCAAUAUAUUGGAUAUUAGAUUUAGAUUAAUAUGAAAGGGAUUUUGUUUUUGGUCAGAAAGAUCCAAAAAUCAAUAGUUAAAAAGACAUUAAUUGUUUAUAACUGAGCCAUUUUGUUAUUCAAUUCGUUAACGUAAGCUUUUUUUUAUCAAUGUGUUAAUGGGCCAAAUUUUAUUAAAGUGCAAUUUGUUUCUAACAACAUAAAGAUAUAUUGAUUUAAGGAGGAUGAGUAGAGGAUGAAGGAGAAGAAAAAAAGAAAAAGGAAAGGAAGAAAAAGAUUCAUUGAUGAAUAUUUACUAAUGAUAUGAAUUUAUUAGUGAUUAUGGACGGUAUUUAUUAACUAAUGUUUAUUAUGAAAUUUUAAUCUUGAACAUUUAUUAAUGGAUUGUUCAAUUUACAGAUAAAAUUUAUCAAUGGCCAUUCUACUACAAAUUUUUUACUAUCCUUAAUCUAUCCAAAAUUCAAAAUACCAACAAAAUUUUAUUAUUAAUAAUGAUGAAUUAUGUAGGUCGUUAAUAUGGGACUUUUUUUAUAAUGAUGCAUGAUACGUCUUAAUUUAGAUAAUACUUUUUCAGUUGGCAACUAAAUUUCUAGAAAACAUAUUUUAAAAAGUUGUUACAGACAUACCAAAUUGUGAAAAUAGUAAUCGGUAAGAUGGAAUAUCAUUUUUUAAUAUAUUUGUAAAAUACUAAAUAAUUACACAAUUAAUAACUAUUCUAAACUAAAUUAAUAAUUAAUACAGACUAAAGAAUAAUUUUAUAAUUUGAAUUUAUGUUCAAGAAAGUGAAGAAUUGAUGCAUAAAUGAUAAAGAUAAUCUUUGAAAUUUAAAAAAACUUAAAAAAUGAAAAUGGUUAAAAAUAAUAUGGAUUGAUAUUGUUAGUUUUAGUUUUCACCAACUUCCCAAAUAAUAACAUUUAUUUUAAUAUCUUGAUAAUUUAUAAUAGAUAAACAAUUUAUUUUAUUUUUUAAAUUAAAUUAUUGAUGCAUAUUGUUAUAUUCUUAAAAUAAAGUUAUCAAAUAUUAUUUGAUAGAGGGUAUAAAAAUACAAAUUUUCGUGUUUAUUUGUCAUGAUACAAAUUUAUUAUCUAUGUAAAAACCCAUAUAAGGUAGCUUUUAAUGGCAUCUUUCUUAUUGAUAGAUUAUUUCAAUUUAAUCAAUGAUUUAAAUUUGAACCUUAAGUAUUUUGUUAUGUCACAUACAAACUUAAUAUAAUAAUUUGGGAACAAAUUAAAAGUAAAAAUAAAUAUUUUAUUAAAAUUGAAAGCAUCAACUCAUUUGAACUAUUUUUUUAAAAUUAAAACAUCAAUUAUUUUAUAAAGAAAAACAUACAUCCAAUUUGCAUGGAAAAAAGAUGUCCCAUCUUGAUUUGGAAAGGUGAAGGAAUUGUUGAAAUCAAUUGGAUAUUAACUUCUCAUUAUUUCAGUCUUUUUUUUUCUUAAAAAAUGUUUGAUAAUGUAUAAAUCAGAACUUGUAAAAAUAACUAAAAUUUUUUUGAUUUCAACACUAUAUAAUACAUUAACCAUGCUACAUAAGAAUCAAAUAUACUGUUUCACAAUUAAUAAUAAAAUGCUUGAAACUUUUGUUCGAUAUUUUCUCCUGUUCCUGCCAUUUUUUUAAAAUGCAUAUUAACGUUUUCCAUCUCAACGCGUAAAACUUAAUUUAUUUAAUUUGAAAAAAAGGGUCACAUUUGUAAAAAAAAAAAACAUUAUGAAACAAAACAUUAUAUAUUGAAUAAGAGUAGGAUGACAUAUAGUGAUAUUCAUUUGACACACCUGAGUAAAUUGUUAUAAAAGAGUAAAUUUUUAUAAUUUUUCGGAAAAAGAAAAAAAAUAUUGAAUGAAUGUAAAAAAAAUUAUGUGUAAGAAAAUAUAAUUUCUCUUAUAGAUUUUUCUUACAAACUUUUUUUCGCAAACAUGUUGCUCCAAUAUACAAGUGGCUCAACAUGCACACACUCUUAUUUUGGAUGCAACUGAUUCUUCAGCAUGUUAUUGCGAGGUCUACGAACAACUGCAUGGUAACCAUCAUUUCACGUACCUUUUACUCAAAAAAAGGCCAAUCGUCGCAUUUGAACUGAAUACCUAUUACUACGCAAGAAAAGAAAACGACAUAACAUGUCAAUUUUGAGUUUGAAACACGGAUCUACCUUAAGACAAGUUCCAACAUUAAAAGACAUUGUUAUAAAAAUAGUAAACAGCACUGGUUUUAAAUUCCCCGAGAUUGUAUUGUCCACCAAGCCUGCUCAUUUCAUCACUCUGAAAGACUGAACUGAAGAGAGAUAUUGUGCUCGCAAUGGCCAAAUAUUCCAAAGCAAUGCUCGUGUUAGGUCUUGGGGUGUUGGUGGUUAGCAUGUGGUGCAUGAAGGGCACUGAGGGUAGCCUUGAAGAUGAAGCUGCUUCCAUCAUUCACACAGUCAAACGUGACGACUCUUCUCAUCAAGGGUGUGGUGGAUCCAGCCACACCGAGGGAGGAGUGGAAGAGUGCUCGGGCAAAGAUGACAAACUGGGAUUGUAUCAUGAUGUUGAUGACACUUUCAAGGCUGCCGCAAAAAGAGCCACUUCUAAUGGCGAAAAUGACGACUCUCCUAAUCUUGGAAACAACAAUGUCAAUGUCUUGGGACAUUGAUACGAUUAUACCCUGUUUGGUUUCAUGUUUCAGUGCGACUUUUCACUUUCGUAUUAAUUUUUUCUAGAUAAAAUUGCAAAAUUUCUUGUAGAUUUUUACGAAACAGUUUAUAAAGCAUAGUUUUUAUGUAUUGAGAUUACAUAUGGAAUUCAAUGUUUACUAUUGUUAUUCAAGUGAUAACACAGUACUGUAGCUAAAUCAAUGAACAUAAAGAAUCACAAUGCCUGUAGGAUAAUAAAUUUGAAAAACUUUUAUAGAAUAAACUUUGCAAGAAAUGUAUUUAGUCAUUACAAGGGUUUAGUUAUGCAUGAUACCUUUUACUCUUAAUCUCACAAUUAGAAAUAUAUAAUGGCUAGAAUAGUUGAGUUGGAAAAGUAUGGUGAAGAAAAUAUAAAGCCUUUUAUUCUUUUUUUUUUUUAUCAUGUCUUAGAAAUUAAGAACACCAAAACAAUCUUCUGAUAAGAAGAGUGGAAUAGAGGAAAAGUAAAUAGAGACCUAACAACGAAAAAAUUGAAAUUGAAGAUAACAAACUAAGAACGAAAUUAAAGAAACAUAGAGCAAACAGAGUGAAGUGUAAUCAAUUUUAUUUUGGCAAAAUUGUAAAUCCUCAAGUAUAAUUUUUCUAAACAAAGUUACAAAAGUUCUUGUACUAUUUUUACGAACCAAAUGAGCGCAUUUAAAAAAUAUUUCAAAACAUAGAUAUCACGCAAUGGUUACAGGUAUACUAAUGGUAAAAUGAUAUACAUUUAUAUUUAUUUUACAUAUAUUACAAAAUAAAAUAAUCAUUUUGUAUUUUUAAGAAGAAAAAAAAUAAGUAAAAAAUAAUAUAAAAAUUUAUAAUUUUAUCAUCGUUUUAUAUUUAUAUUUUAGGUUUAAACCUCUUUUUGGUUCCUAAGAUAUGAGUGAUGUUCAGUUUAGUCCCCGUUUUUUAAAAUGUAAAUCUUUAGUCUCUAAGUUAUAAAAAAUGUAUCAAAUGAGUCCUUUUUUGACUUGAAAUACUCUUUUUGGUUGUUUCUUAACAACUGCUACAUCUUUAGAUUGCUCUGAUUUGUUUCUUAAUAAUAACAACAGUUUAAAUUGCUCUUUGUACUUUGACCAUGAACAUAAAAAAAAGGACUCGUUUGAUACAUUUUUUAUAACUUAGGAAUAAAAGGUUUACAUUUUUAAAAGCGCGGACUAAACUGAACGUCCGCUCAUAACUUAGGGACCAAAAAAAGGUUUAAACCUAGAUUCUAUAUCAAAUAAAUAUAAAAGUAUCUCAUGUUAUCACUGCUUUUUUAUUCAUAAAUUUUCAUGUUCUUCUACAUAGAUACUGAAAUCGAAAUUUAGGUUACAAAAUGAAACUAAUUGAAAUUUAGGUUACCAAAUGAAACUAGCUUCACUCACAUUACAAAACAUCUUAUUUUACAUAAAGUUUUCAACCCUAAUUAUAUCAUUAUUCAAUAUAUAUAUAUAUAUAUAUAUAUAUAUAUAUAUAUAUAUAUAUAUAUAUAUAUAUAUAUCUUGCUCUUGUCUUUAGGUUUUUAUUCUUGAUCUUGGUUUUGUCGUUCUUCAUANNNNNNNNNNNNNNNNNNNNNNNNNNNNNNNNNNNNNNNNNNNNNNNNNNNNNNNNNNNNNNNNNNNNNNNNNNNNNNNNNNNNNNNNNNNNNNNNNNNNNNNNNNNNNNNNNNNNNNNNNNNNNNNNNNNNNNNNNNNNNNNNNNNNNNNNNNNNNNNNNNNNNNNNNNNNNNNNNNNNNNNNNNNNNNNNNNNNNNNNNNNNNNNNNNNNNNNNNNNNNNNNNNNNNNNNNNNNNNNNNNNNNNNNNNNNNNNNNNNNNNNNNNNNNNNNNNNNNNNNNNNNNNNNNNNNNNNNNNNNNNNNNNNNNNNNNNNNNNNNNNNNNNNNNNNNNNNNNNNNNNNNNNNNNNNNNNNNNNNNNNNNNNNNNNNNNNNNNNNNNNNNNNNNNNNNNNNAUAUAUAUAUAUAUAUAUAUAUAUAUAUAUAUAUAUAUAUAUAUAUAUAUAUAUAUAUAUCAUGCUCCAGCCUUUAGGCUUUUAUUCUUGAUCUUGGUUUUGUCGUUCUUCAUACAAUCACUACAUGAGAGGUAAUUAAUAGCUCAGAGGAUGGAGCAGUUAUUAGGGUAUGGAUCAUAAACUAUGAAAGCAGGUUGAAUGAUAGAGGUGCUACAUUUUGCACAAAACGGAGGAUAAAUUUUCUCUGGUACGGUUUCGUCUUCUUCUUCUUGGCCAUCCUCUUCAACUCCUCCUUUUAUAUUUUCCACAUGUAUCAGGGUAGCAUGGCGGAACUUCUUUUUCAUCUGUUUCGUUAAGCAAAAAGGAUCCACUCCAUCUCCAGUUAUCACAAUUUCACUGCAUUCUUCAUCUAUUUCUAUUGAUUCCACACCUGCAUGUUUCAUAGUACACAUACAUUUUGGUUAUGAAUCAAGAUUUAUAUAAAAACUAUAGCUAUACCUAGUUUUUAUUCAACAUGGUACAUGCACCUUGACAUUCAGCUGCAAUUACCAUAGCCUUCUUUCUGCAUUUCUCACUCGCCACCUGCACCUUUAUAACUAUUUUCUGCAUCAUAUGAACGUAUAUAUUAAUAUACAUAGAAUUAUUCAAAUAAAUAUCAUAUACCUUGACGUUUAUUGAUUAUUGCAAGUAUAUCACCUUCAUGUUUGAUAAUGAAGCUGAAGGUUUUGCAGUGGCUUUAUGCUCUGUUGGAGAAGCACGAAAAAGCAGAAACUACAAUAAUGUCGAUAUAACAAGAUAAUGUUAUAGUAUAUAUAGAGAAAUUAUGGAUGUGAGUUGGUGGUCCAAAUAUAUUGAACACGUCUCUUUUUUAAUUAAUUUUCAGAACUAUUUUUAUACGUAAUGCCUCUUCACCUUUAGAAAUAUAGAUAGAUACAUGCAUUAUGUAAAAAAAAAAUCAAAAUAAUGAAAAGAAAAACUGGUUUAUUUAUUUACCAUUUAAAACAGUUUUACAUAGUCAUUUAGAUGAAAAUCAUCAAAUAUGAUAAAUUUGUUAAUCUUUACCAAGAUUAUUUUAAAAGUAAUUAUAUUAAUGUUAUUCAUAUUCAAUAACCAGGUAAAGUACAUAAUCAUUAACUUUUAUAAACAAAAGUUGAAAAUUAAUUUAAAAGAGAUAAGUGAGAAGUAGAAUUGCCUUGUAAUUUGGGGCUAGACUUGGUAAUUGAAUUAAUUUAGUUUGUCACAAUCAUAUAUAAAUGCAUUAUUGAUGAGGUCUUCGUCAACAUAUCUUGCUUAAUGAGGUUGGCACUUUCUGUAAUGUUACUAUCAAUCAAUUUGUUAUCACGAGUUUAAGUAGAAUUUUUCUUCUUAUAAUUCUCAAUUCAACUAACAGAUUACCUUAUUUUAGUACAUAUUGAGUUGUUUAAGAUUAGUUAAAAAAAUAUUAUAUUUCUUUUAACUCUAUCAAUCAAUAGAUCACAAAAUAUUUAUUUUAAGUUCGAGAUUGUUAUCAUCAUAAUACGAAAAAAAAUAAUUUUUAAAAUAUUUAAACUUUAAAAUCAUAAUAAUAAAAUAGUAAUUAUAAAUUUUCUUUGUAAGUCAAUGAAUAUAUAUAUGAGUGUGUGCGGGGUGUUACAAAUAUGAUUAAAUUGUUUUCUAAACAUUUAUAUAGAAAAUUAAAUGAUAUAACAAUUGAUGAGAAAAUGGAUCUUAUCACAUAAUGAUACUCAUGGUUUAGAAAUAAAAUACUUUAUCAACUUUGGUUGAUGAGACAAAUUCACUUUAUCAUUUAAGACAAGAAAGACAAUGCCUUUAUUGAUUUUUCUGCAAAAAAAUUAAACAACAAUUUUGUUUAUAUUGUAAGUGUGAGUAGGUGUGGAAGUCUUUGUCUAUUUUUCUUCUAUUUCACACUUGUGUUAUGAUUGGAAAUUGAAAAUAGUAUUUAAGCACGGGGAGAUGGAACGAGUGAUGAGCGAUAGAUAUGUGAAGCAAAUUCUUAGUAGGUCAACGGAGGACUUGUUAGAUUAUAAACAAAAUUAGUGAACCAAAUCAAUCUAAGAGCAAUCAAAUUUUAUCAUACAAUAAACUAUUUUCAAUUAUAAGUAUGUGGAAGCCACCACUUAUCAAGACUUGGGUGGUUCAACUCCAUUGACGCAUUUGGAAUCAAGGUUGGGUGGUUCAGACAAAACAUCGUAUGGAAAAGGUGUCGAGUAUCAAUUAAAGGGACCACCUAAUGCAAUUUUCAAGUACUGUUAAAACAGAUCAUUGGUCCAACCUGGAUUGAUGUACCAUGAGUUGACUAUUUAGUGAGUCAACUCAACCCGUCUCAUUUAUUAAUAAAUAAAUUAUCUCAUUAGCUCACUUAAUUACACAUUUUUUUAUCAAUUAAAAAAAUAACAAAAAUUUUCUAAUUGAAAUCUAAACAAAGGGGGUCUUAAAUUAUUUAUGAUCAAUCAAAUAUAAGAUUUCAUUGAUACAAAGAUAUCACGAAAUCUUCUCUAACAAAAUUUUUAGUAACUUCAUAACAAUUCAAAUUUGUGUUUUACAUACAAAAAUAAUUUCACUUAGGGUUUAGGGUUUAGGUUUUAGGGUUUUAGGGUUUAGGGUUUGCGGUUUGGGGUUUGGGGUUUUGGGUUUAGGGUUUUGGGUUUUGGGUGUUGGGUUUUGGGUUUUGGGUUUUGAGUUUUGGGUUUAGGGUUUAGGGUUUGGGGUUUAGGGUUUUAGGGUUUUAGAGUUUACGGUUUUGGGUUUUGAGUUUAGGGUUUACGGUUUAGGGUUUAGGUUUUAUGUUUUAGGGUUUAGGGUUUAUGUUUUAGGAUUUUAGGAUUUAUGGUUUAGGGUUUUAGGGUUUAGGGUUUAGGGUUUUGGGUUUAGGAUUUUGGGUUUAAGGUUUAGGGUUUUAGGGUUUAGGGUUGUGGGUUUAGGGUUUAUGGUUUAGGGUUUAGGGUUUAGGGUUUAGGGGUUAGGGUUUAGGGUUUAGGGUUUAGGAUUUUGGGUUUAAGGUUUAGGGUUUUAGGGUUUAGGGUUUUGGGUUUUGGAUUUUGGGUUUAGGGUUUAUGGUUUAGGUUUUAGGGUUUAGGGUUUAGGGUUUAAUCUAACAAAAAGUACUUUUUAAAAUAAUUAGGUGGAUUGGUGUCUAACCUGGUUCACCAUGAGUUCAACCCGAAUGAACCAAAUUCUUAGUAUUUCCAAAUUGAUAUGUAUCGAAAUUUUAAAAUAUUUUUCAACUCAACUCGACUCGAACUUGUAAUGAACCGGGUUAGCUCAUGAAUUCUAAUCUAUUUUGACAAGACUAAUUUUCAUAAAUUUACAUUAAGUUAUAUUUAUAUAAUAGCUAAUCUUAUAAUUAAUUUAUGCUAUAUAAUGGAUAUAUAUAUAUAUAUAUAUAUAUAUAUAUAUAUAUAUAUAUAUAUAUAUAUAUAUAUAUAUAUAUAUAUAUAUAUAUAUAUAUAUAUAUUAUACAUAUACAUUUUUAUAAAGUUAACAAAGUAAUUAGAUAUAAUAGUUUAUAUAAAAUGAUAUUUUUUUUUCAUUCAUAUUCUAGUUUCUCGUUGAUUUAUAUCACUUUUAAGGUACUGCUGCUAGCUUGUGAUUGAAGUAAAACCUUUUUGUUUUCUUCGUGAAUAUUCUAUUAUUUUUCUUACUUCAGAAUUUAAUAAUUAUGCAUUUUCAUUGUGGAAACUUUAAGCUGUCAACAAAUUCGAAGUGAUCCUUAUACAAGUGAACCAAAAAUGGUUUACCUUUUUCUCUUUAUUUAGAUUUUAUUUAUUAUGUAUUAUUAGUAAACAAACUUUUACAGUAAUAACUAAUCAUAAAUCACCACGACAACAAGACCAAUAACAGAUAUUUAAUAGUAACAAUAAUGAUAAUCAUAAAUCAAGCAAAAUAUUUCAGAAGGAUUUGAAUUUAUGAUUGAUAAUGAAAACAGAAAAAAAAAAGGUUUUUAUAAGUGAACGAUACCGUUUUGGCAGUAAAAGUAUGCAAAUGGACAAAAUUUUAAAAAAUUGCAAGACGUAGGUAAGUCAUGUGGAAAACAACACUAUAUGGAAAAGUCACGCACCGUACGAGUUUGCUUCUAUGUUACUGAUGCUUUAACACAAUUUUUUACAUUAAUUUGAUAUUAUUUCUUUUUAUUUUUUAUUAUCUGUUUUAAAAUACAAAAAAUUACUUUUUAUAAUUAUUUUAUUGCUAUAGCAUAUAUUAAAUGAAUAUAAAAAUAAAUAUAAACAUGUAUCAUCUUUUUGAUAAUAUUAAUUUUUGGCUUGGAGGAUAUCGAAGAAAGAAAAGUCAUUAAAUAGGAAUUCGGGUGCAGGACUUGAAUGUUGUGUGGGGCUUGUGCAGCAUGUUCAACUAAUGGAAUCAAUGCAUGCAUGUGCAUCAACAAUGAAAGUCACAGAUUCUCCCUACAUGGUGCCAAAAUCAAACAAAUUAUCGUGUUAAAUACAAUCAUUGCACAUCGUGUGACCAAGAAACCAACACAUUGAACAUAUUCCAUGGAAGUAGUUUGGAGGUGCACCAGUUAUUGUUCUGGAACUUCUAUGUAUCCUGCAAAUAACAGCUUAGGUUUUCCUGGGAUUUCACUUUUCAGUGAUGGCUUUAAUUAAAUUAUAUGUUGUCAUGUGUGAGACACAACAAAAAUCUCAUGUAUUAAAUUGUAUAAAUGUUUUUGACAGAAUGUUCAUAAGAAAAUUUAUGAUGAUUACUGAAGAGAAUAGAAUGUAAACAACGGAAAAGUUUAUAUACAAAUAAAACGAAGAUAACAACUAUAAUAACGAUUACAAUAAGAAAAAUAGACGAAGAGAUUUGUUAUCUCUUUAUUAUGCAUGUUUAGCUUGGAUUUAAUAGUAUUAAAUAAAGAAGAAUAUAGGAACUUUGCAAGAACGUCAACAACUUGAUUGACUGAAGACACGUCUAGUAAUGUGGUAGACUAUGUUUUUGGUUUUCCAAUGAAAUGUGAGAUUCUUUACAAUGUAGAUGAUAAAAUUGUUGUCACAAUAGAUUAAGUAUGAAGUAGAGCACAAUGUAUGUAAAUCUUUUAAAAAGUAGUGCAGUCAUUAAGGUUCACAAGUUAGAGAAAGACUUGUAUUCAACUACAGAGAAGGAUUUAGAAACGGUGAUUUGUAUCUUUGACUUUCCAAAAAUGAGAGCAAUUCCAAGAAAGACACAGAAACUAGAGAUAGAUCUUCUAGUUGUAGCACAAGUGGCCCAAUCAAAAUUAGAGUAAACAUGAACUCUAAAGGAAUUAUUAACAAUCCAAAACCAGAGCAUUCUUUAAGUAUCUAAUAACUCUCAUGACUUGUUGCAUAUGAGGUUGUCAUGGAGAAGAGACAUAUUGGCUAAGUUGUUGGAUGGCAAAAGUAAUGUCAGGGCUCGUAUUUGUGAGAUAGAUUAACCUUCCAAUUUAAACUACAAUAAGAAGAAGGAUUUGUGAGGAGAGUUUCUUCGUCAGCAUGUAGUUUUACAAAAGGAUCAGAGGGUGUAAUGGUUGGUUUACAUACCAACAUACCAGCUUCAGAAAUAAAUUCAAAACAAUAUUUUUUGUGAUUUAUGCACAAUCCAACUUUAAACCUAGCAAUUUCAAACUCUAGAAAAAUAUUUGAGAUAUCCAAGGUUUUUAAUGUGGAACUUGUUGUGAAAAUGAUUUUUAAUAGUGGUAAUUUUAUAGAGGUUGUUUCCAAAUAUAAGGAUAUCAUCAAUGUUAGACCUGUCAAAUAGGCUCCUAUAAUAAGCCCUGGUCCUACCUCAUGUGGGUUAGGGCCAAAAAAGUCCUUUUAUUAAAAAAGCCCACAGGGCUAAAAAGCCCCAAAAUCUUGUGAGUCAGGGCCAACCCAUGGGCUUUCUUUUUUACAAAAAAAAAUAAAUAUUCAACAAUAAAUUGCAUUUUUACAGAGAAAAGAAACACUUAUAUUCAGUGUUAUAACUUGAAAAAUUUAAAUUAUGAAGCACACAAACUCAAUCAGAGAAAAAACUAUCAACUUAUAUAGCAGCCAGAAUCACAAACAGUAAAGAAUGAUUGUCAAAAAUACUUGAAUGUGAAGAUUGGUGGCAGUGUUUAUUUUAUAUGCUCUCUAAUCAGGCAUAGUCAGUUGAUUUACUCCAAUACCUAGAGCCAUCAAAAUGGGUCACAACCCGCGAGCCAACCCGGCCCGUCAUGGGUUAGGGUCGGGUUGGGUUUGAAAAAUACAACCCAUUUAUGUGCGGGUCAGAUUUCAACCCGGCUCAUGCGGGUUGAACCCGUGGUGAGCCGGGUUGGCCCACCAACCCACCUACCUAAUUUUAUUUUUUUAAUUUAUUAUUUUAUUUAUGAAACCCUAAAAAAUAAAAUAUUAUCUUCACUCAUUAUGUAUACCAAAAAAGUAACUUCUCCUCUCACAAAUCACUCUCACGGUACUUCUCUCAUUUGACGGUGCUCUCACCCUCACUUCACUAAAAUUCUUCAAGGAGCAAGUAAAACACCCUUCUUUUUUUCUUCUCUUUUCUCCAUAUUUUUGUUUUCUCACUUCUCUUUCUUUUUUUUUUCAAAAACCCUAUAAUGACAAAAAUAGGGAUUUGCGAAUUUGUUUUUUGUUUUGGGGGAUUUGAAGACAUGAAUUAAUUUUUUUUAUGUUCUGACAUGCUUGUAUCAGAUUUUGUUCAUUUUAUUUAAAUAAUUUGAGUAUACAUUAUUUGAACAACCUCUUUUUGAUAUUUUUGAAUUUGGAAAUUUAUGUUACAGAUUAAACUAUUAAUUUUUUGUUGAUGUUAUUGAGUACUGAUUCUCUUUUUUUUACUAAUAUUUUUUUAUUGAUUGUCGGAAUUGGUCUUUAACAUAAUUUUUUAGGAGUGGAAUUUGUUUAAAUUUAAAUUAUAGAAAGUUUGUAUUUUUUUAUUUAAAAAAAAUAUNNNNNNNNNNNNNNNNNNNNNNNNNNNNNNNNNNNNNNNNNNNNNNNNNNNNNNNNNNNNNNNNNNNNNNNNNNNNNNNNNNNNNNNNNNNNNNNNNNNNNNNNNNNNNNNNNNNNNNNNNNNNNNNNNNNNNNNNNNNNNNNNNNNNNNNNNNNNNNNNNNNNNNNNNNNNNNNNNNNNNNNNNNNNNNNNNNNNNNNNNNNNNNNNNNNNNNNNNNNNNNNNNNNNNNNNNNNNNNNNNNNNNNNNNNNNNNNNNNNNNNNNNNNNNNNNNNNNNNNNNNNNNNNNNNNNNNNNNNNNNNNNNNNNNNNNNNNNNNNNAGAAUUGGAAACUAAAAAAAGAGAUAUUUUUAAAAUAUAUGAUUAUUUGAUAUUAAUUUUGAUUCAAUAAUGACUAUAGAUUGUUUUAAUUAAAAUAUAUGUGUGCUUGACUUUUUUUUUUUGAAAGAAAAAAUAAAAAGAAAAUUAUUAUCAUAAUUAUAAAAAUGAAUAUAAAUAAUUUUUAUUAAUUUUAUAAAUAAUUUUAUGUUAAAAAUAAUUUUUUAGUUUAUCAAAAUAGUAAGUUUUAGAAAUAAUUAAAUAAUUAAUAAUGUUUAAUUUACAAAAUAUUACCAACAGAAAUUAAUAAGAUAAUAAUUUUAAUUAAAAUAUAUAUUUAAUAAGAUAAUAACUUUUAAGCUAAUUUUAGUCUAUGGAAAACAGUUAUUUUUACUUUUCUAUUUUUCAAACGACGUACACCAACUAUCUCAAAACUAACAAAUGUUAGUUUGUGGAAAAAUAAUGUUUUGACAAAGUUUAUAUAUAUAAUUAAUUGACAACUUGUUUAUAAUAAUAUAAUAAUAAUAUUAUAACAAUAAAAUUCAGAUGUUAGAAAGAAAUAUUUAUUAUUAUAAUAAUAAGAUUUAAUAUAAUAUAAUAUAUAAUAUUUAUAAUAUGAGAGAGAGUAAAAUUACAAUAAAUCAUAUGUAUAUAAAUUAUAUUAUUUCUAAAAUUUAAUUAAAGUUUUAGAGUGGGGUUAAAAUUUAAUUAAGUUUUAGAGUGGGGCUAAACCCACUUUAAUCCUGACCCUAACCCACUUGAGAGGGGGUUUUAGGGGUUGGGGCUUUUUUUUGGCCCCCUACUUGGGGGACUUCUUAAAAUAGGGCUUUUUCAACAGUGGGUUGGGGCUGGCCCUGGGACCAUGGGUUAGUUUGACACCCCUAAUUAAUGUAUACUAGAAGGGCAUUACUCCCUGCACCUCCCCAUGUGCUCCCUCCACCUCCCCUUCCCUUAUUUACCCUUCAUUCUAAUUUUUCUAUUCCUAUUUUAUCCUUUUAAUAAAAGUUUGUUUUACAUUAAAAUUUUAUAAUUUUUACCUACUCGAUUACAUAACCUAUAACCUAUUAUUGAUUCUCUAUAAAUAUUUUACGUGUUUUCAUUCUUACUCUUUAGUGAUAGAAUUCUUUUUCUUGUGAAAAUGUGAUGAAAAGAAUGUUGUCCAAUAGUUCAAACAUAUCUACAAUUGAAAGUAGAAUCUGUAAUUAAAGGUAGAAGUUCAAUAGGCAGUACUUUGCAAGAAUAAACCUUAAUCCUAAGCGUUGAUAGGGUCGAAACCACUCUUAAACCGAUAUGAGCAUCCGUGGACGGAUAUCAACAUCCGUUUCAGGGCCAAGGACGUCUUCCUUCUCAUACGCACACACAGAAACCAAACCAAACACAGCAGCAGCAACAUACAGGCGGAAGAAAAAAUCUAGGGUUAUUUAAUUACCAACCAUCACUUUCCUACCCACACUCACACUACAGAUAACAUAUAUUCAUAGAGAGGAAGAAUGAAUCAAUACCAAAAUAAUCAAUAAAUGACAUUAAAAAAUGGAAUCAGAAAAGGGGAGGGAAAAAGCGUUUUCCUCCUCGGCACCGGCGGGGGUGUCGCUGGGGAUGUUUAACAUUUGAAAAGAAAACCCUCGAAGGGAGAGGAGUGAGAGUGGUGCUGGUGGCGCCGGCGAGAAGCGAACUUCGGUGAGGGCGGCGGUGGCUAUCUUCGUCGACGGUGGUUUCGAUCGUGGUGGUGAAGGCUCGUCUCAGUUCGAGCCACAACCUCUCUCUCGCGCGGGGAUGGUUCUUGUUGAUGAUGGGCAUCGUCGAUGACGCCUUGGGUCGAAUGGCGACUGCUCCGGCGACAAAUCGCAUCGCCGGCGCAACCCUAGUUCGUGGUCCGAGAAGCGGCGACUGAGGUACGGCGCGACUGGAAGGCGAGUUCUCUCGCACACGUGAAAUGAGGGAAGACGAGGUGGCGUUGCGGCCAACGAUGACCCUGGUUGCGCUUGGGGUCGCCGGCAACGUCAUGGACCAGGCGGAGGGCACCCUUGCGGUGGUCGUUUUAGCGAUGGUCGUUUUAGCAGAGGCGGAGGCAGCUGGAGCGUGAGUGCUUGAGCAAAGGAAGAGGGUGCUUCUGGGUUUGAUUUGAUCGAAAAAGAGUCUAGGGUUUCCAGAAGAAGAGGAGGCUUGGGUCUCUGGGAUAAGCAGUGUUGAAAUGAAAAUAGGAUGAGGAUAUCCUGAUUUCUGAUCAGGUUAAAAAAGUAAAAAAAAUAAAGUAAGAAAAGGUUGUUUUUGUAAUUAAAAAAAAUUAAAAAAAAAAUUGAGGGGGUAGAGGGAGUGGAUGGGGAGGUGGAGGGAACACCACCCAUACUAGAACGAUGGUGAUAGUAGAAGAAGAAUGUUUGAUAAACAAAGAAUGGUCAUCUGAACUUUGUGUAUACUCGAGAGAUAGUAACUCAGAUAUCAACUUGUGAUUCCAAUUCUUGUUAUCUUGAUUUAAAACAUAAAGCGAUUUCUGAAGCUUGCAAACAGGAUUAGGAUUAGAAGGACAAAGACCAAUAGGAGGCUUCAUGUAGAUUUCUUUGAUUAAAUCACCAUGGAGGAAAGAAUUAUCAACAUCUAACUGAUGAAGAAACCAUUGAUUGUAAGGGGAGUCCAUCCACAUGACGGAUUGUUUGAUUGGAAGAGACGUAAAACGUGUCAACCAUGACAUCGCCAUCUUGUUACAUCUUUUCCAUGUUUCAUGAAGAACAUAGUUAGGGGGAAGGCAAGGAAUGAUACUAAGAAAAAAAAUUUCUUUGUUCUUGAUUUCUAAGGCUACAAACAUAUCAUGUCGCCAUUAUUGAAAAUUGGUGUCUGAGAGAGGAGGAGUGACGAAAAUUAGGAUUGGAUUUCUCCGAAAUAGAGAAAUAAAGGAUAAACAAGGUUAGAAAAAUGAUUGAGUGGCCAUGAGAGAAACAUAUAUAGAUUUUCAAUCUCAUACCAUGAUAGCGUUUGACAAAAUACUUAAAAGAGGAUUUCUCAUGAUUAUUGAAGAGAAUAAAAUGUGUACAAAACAGCAGCACAAAAGGUUUAUAUAUAAAUCAAGGAAAGAUAACAACUAACAUUAACGGUUACAACAAGAAAAAGAAAAAAAGAGAUUUGUUAUCUCUCUAUCAUGGAGAGACCAUAACACACGCCAUCAAUUUAGUGAUCACCUUAUUCAAUAUUUUAAUCUUCUACUUUUGCUAUAAUGUAUUUUUUGAAAUUUUGAGGAUCUUCUUCUCAAUCCAUUGUUGAUAAACCUCUAAUAAGAUAUAUUAUAGAUGACAUUGAGGGCAUGCAUGCUAUAUGAGGAACAAGAUGUUGUUGGAGCAGUGGUGCAUUCUAGUGAAGCUUUUGAAAUUGAACUUGUUGAACGUAUGUAAUUUGAGUCCAAGUAGGCAACAAUGCCAAAGCAAUACCACAUCAACAAUGACUACAAAGUUUAUGAUGAUUGAAUCAAACUCUGAUAGAUAAGUCUCAAGGCCUUAAAAAAACAUUCAAUAAGACAAAAAUUAAAGGGAUCACAGAAGCAUAACAUGCACGACUUCUUUAUAUAAUUUCUCAGACAACUAACCUACAUCUCGUAAUUUUUUAAAUUUUGUUCAUUUCCGUAAUGUUCUGAUAAAACUCCACACUUCACUUAAAGAAAAACAGAAAAAAGAGAAAAAAAAAAAAAACUAAAUGAGAAAGCAGGUAUAAAUAGAGUGACAGAUAUUGAUUUUGGUUCUCUAUGCAGAAAUUUUUGGGGAGCACUCUCGUUGAACUGCCUUCAUGAGAAGACUGUCGUGUUCCAGAGCCAUCUGAACCGGAACAGACCCAAGCCCAUUGGCCAUGGCAAGCAUUAUCUCCUUCGUUUCCUCCUUGAACUCUUCCAUGUCAACCCUUCCAUUCAGAUCAUGGUCGAAUUGCACGAACAUUGACUCGUACACACGUGCCACUUCCUCAGGCUCAUGCUUCACGUCCACGCCAAAAUGAAUCUCCAACACCCUCAUCCUCUGCAACUCCUUCAGCAUCUCCGCGUACGACAGAACACCAUCCUUGUCCGUGUCCAGCUGCCAGAACAGCUCCCUCACACACUCUCCGAACGCUUCCUCGUCCUCCACGAAACCAACUAUGGUUGCGCCGUCUAAAACCUCCACACUCAUUCUCUUCUCACAACUAAAUUGCUGCCAACUUUAUGUUUCUUUGGUUUCGGAUGACAACCUUUGUUGGUUGUUCAGGGUUUAUAUAGCAAUGAGUAGUAUACAGUU